UUCAAUUUGCGCCCUUUAUAAUUUAGAAACUUUACUAUUAUAUGGGUGUAGAUCUCUUCAAAAUCUACCCUCAAAUUUACAAAUUCUAGUCAAUUUGCGUGUUCUCGACAUCACUUAUACACCUUCAAUGAAAGGGAUACCGGUUGGAAUUGGUAACUUAACCAAUCUUCGAAAACUAUCUGAUUUUGUUUUGGGCAAAGGUGAUGGACAUCAUAUACAAGAGAUGAAGAAUUUGUUAAAUCUGAAGGGUAAGCUUUGUAUCUCAGGGUUAGAGAACAUUGUUAAUGCUCAAGAUGCAUGGGAGGCUAAGUUAAUAUAUAAGUCUGGCCUUGGCACAUUAGAACUAAAGUGGAGUAGAGAAUUUGAUAAUAAUAGAAAUAAAGAAAUUGAAGAAGAGGUCUUGAAUUUGCUUGAACCUCAUAAAAAGCUUGAAGAGCUCUUCAUUCAGGAUUAUGGUGGUACAAAAUUUCCGAUUUGGAUGAAUUCUUCAUUACAAAAUUUGUCGUCUUUGGUUCUCAAGGGCUGUAAAAAUUGCGUAUCACUACCAUCAAUUGGAAAAUUACCAUUGUUGAAGAAUCUUUCUAUUGCUGGAAUGGAUGAGUUAAAAAAGGUUGGCAUUGAGUUCUAUGGGGAGAAUCACUCAAAUGUAUUUGCUUUGUUACAGAGUUUGAGCUUUGAGAAUAUGCCACGAUGGAAGGAAUGGGACUUAGUUGAUGAGCAAGUUGAGAAAUUCCCUAGCCUCAUCGAGCUUUCCAUCAAAAACUGCCCUCAAUUGUUGGGAAGGUUGCCUAACCAUCUUCGUUCCUUGGAGAAGCUUGAAAUUCGUGACUGUGCACAAAUGGUGGUUUCACUUUCAGACCUUCCAAAGCUGUCUGAAUUAAUAAUACAUGCAUGUGCAGAGUUGGUGCUCAGAGAUGAUGCAGACUUUCUCUCAAUAAAAGGAGUCAAUCUUUCAAGUGUUGUAAAGUUUUCUACUGCAACAGAAAGGCUGGUAUCAACAUCAACAACAUUGGAGCAUUGUAAGAUUGACAGUUGUGAGGGAUUGACAUAUUUAUUGCUAAAGAAGUUGGGACUGUUGGGCUCUGUCCGUAAAUUGGAAAUUUAUAAAUGUCCACAACUUGUGUUGUUAGAGCCAGAUGAGGUAGAGGAGGCAGAAGAGGAGCUGUUUCAAGUUGGGAAUCUUUGGAAUAUUGAAUCUUUGGAAAUAAUGCAAAUUGGUCUCCAUAUGGAAUCUUUGAGAAUAAGAAAGCAUUUUCUCCCAUUUCUUACAGAGAUGAGUAUUCAAAACUGCCCAAACAUAGUUUGUUUUGCAAAGAACAACUUACCCCCGCUUUUGAAGAAGUUAGUGAUGGUAAAUUGCGACAAUUUGCGAUGUUUGGUGGAUGAAGGAGAAAAUAUAAGCAUCACUAACAUAUCUCCUCUUGAGUUUUUGUAUAUUCGUGAAUGUCCAUCUCUAAUAUCAUUAUCAUUACCCGUUAGGCUUCGACAUCUUGAACUUUCGAGUUGCUCAAAGCUAGCUUCCUUAUCAGAAAGUGGCAAGUUACCCAUAGGGCUUAAAUAUCUUAACCUUUUUGUCUGCCCAGAGCUCGAAUCCAUUGCAGAAGCAAUUGACGAAAACGCUUGUCUUGAAUUUUUUUAUAUCUGGGGGUGUGGUAUUAAAUCUUUACCGCAAGGAUUCGACAAGCUCAACCAUCUUCAGAGUAUUCAAAUAACUCGAUGUUCAAAUCUAGUCUCGUUGGAAGGGUUUUUGCCCACCACCAAUUUGACUAACCUUUGGAUCUCUAACUGUAAAAAUUUGCGAGCCCUGCCGAAUUGCAUGCACAACCUCACUUCUCUUCGACAAUUGCAGGUUGAGAAUGAUUCAGGUGAUCAGAUAUCCAUUCCAGAAGAGGGUAUCUCUACCAACCUAACAUCACUUUCCAUCUCAAUGCCCAGAAAUUAUGAGUCUCGACUUGAAUGGGGAUUGCAUAGACUCACCUCUCUUAAAACACUUACCAUUACUGGUAGAGGAUGUCCGAAUAUGGUGGCGUUUCCACCAGAGCAGAUAGGAAUGAUGCUACCUUCCUCUCUCACCGAUUUGAGCAUUGUAAAUUUCGAAAAUUUGAAAUGCCUAUCCUCCAAAGGCUUUCAAAACCUCAGCUCUCUUCAUCAUUUGCGCAUCAUCUGUUUCCCUAAGCUCACAUCUCUUCCUGAAAAAGACAGGCUUCACUCGCUUUUGAUGUUAUUAAUUAUUGAUUGUCCAUUGCUAGAGGAAGAAUGCGAAAGGAACAAAGGACGAGAGUGGUCCAAGAUAGCCUACGUACCUUGUGUUGAAAGUCAUUAUCUCUGAUUCUUUGAUUGAGUUUGACACCCAAAGGAGUUGAAUUGAAAGUUGACUGUGAAAAUCACAGGUAUGAAACCAUUUGAAACGUAAGGCAAUUUAGAAGCUGCUCAUUUUUAACAACAAAAUGAAACUAAUAAUAAUAUUUCUUUUCAUUACUGAUUAUUUGCAGGCAAUUCAAAAGCUUUAGAAGGAAACUUGGUGGGAGACUGGGCUUCUCACUUUUUCAUCUAAAUGGCAGAAUCAGUGUGUAAUUAAUUGUUGGUUAGUAGACUCAUGCACAUACAACAACAGUCUACAGGACCCAACUGGUUUUUCUUCAACUUCAUCGUUGAUUUUGUUUUUUUUCGUUUUCAGACCUAUGAAAAUGCUGUAGAGGCUGAUGAAUGGAGUGGUCAGUUAAUUCUCUGCAACUCUCAUCUACAUUUUUAGGAUUUGAUAACGAUUUGAAAUUCUAAUAGAAUACUAUUGAGUUUUCUUCAUUUCUAUUAUGAUGAAUUUGGUGUAUUUUUUACGAAUUCAAAGUCUGCCAAUUCUAUUUUACUUGCCUAUACCUGGAGGACAUCCUUCACUUUAUUCUUUUAAUUUCACAUCAUUCUCAUUUGAUCUUUGUGUGACAAUUUCUCAUACUCCAAUCUAUCUUACUUUUCUUAAUUUUUUGGAGGAACUGCUUUAUAAAGAAAAGAAAAGAAAACAGAGGAAAGGAAUAUAAGAUUGGAUAUAUGUAGGUUAGAUGCUCCAUUUAAUUCGUUAACAGACUUUAAUUUUCUGCAUGUCUUAUGCUUGUGUGAAUAACAGAUUACUCAUUAUCUGGGCAGAAAAGGAAAUAGGUAUUAGAUCUCACAAGCAAACUUGGAAAAAAUUCAGUGAAUAGAUAUACCACAUCCCAUUCAAAUAGUUGAUUAAAUUUUGAAUGAUAACGAAGUGUUCAUUUAAUUGUACAGGCAGAAACCUGAACAAGAAUCUGAAUAAGGGAAGAAUGAAUUCUGGCCUUCAAAGGUAAUUUGUUGACCUAAUAAUCAAUACAAUUAAAUGGUGGCAUGCCAUUAGGCAACAAUGAGAAAAUCCUUCCUAAGUAAACCAUUUGAUGUAUAACUUUUAAAAGUUUGAGUUGGAACUCUCUCUAACCUUCAUCCUCAACUUUCAGAUAAUCUAGGUACUUAGGGAUGCGUUUGAUGUGCACUUAAAAAGUUGGAUAGGAUUGCAAAUAGAAAUCGUCGCAUACCAGUGAAAAACAAAACUUUACCUGACUUCAUAUGUACCCUUUGUAAUUUAGACACCUUGCAAUUAAAGUGAUGUCACGAGUUAGAAAAGUUACCCUGAAAAAUAGAAAUUCUAGUCAAAUUGCAUCAUCUUGACAUUAGUCAUACAAAUUCAGUGAAAGCAAUGCCCUUUGGAAUUGGUGGACUAACCAAUCUUUAAAAACUGUCUAAUUUUGUUUUGGGUGAAGGUGGUGGAUAUCAGAUAUGAGAGAUGAAGAAUUUGUGGAAUCUUAAGGGUGAGAUUUCUAUUUCAGGCUCGGAGAUUGUUGUUAAAGCUCAAGAUGCAUGGGAAGCUAAGUUGAUUGAUGCCCAGGCCUCAAUGAGUUGGAAGUGGAUUGCAACUUUUGAUAACAAUGCAAGAAAUAAAGAAGUUGAAGAAGUGGUGUUGAACUCGUUGAAUUAUGGCUGUCUUUGCUGCAUUGCUGCCACAGGGGAUUAGUUUCUACACAUUUGGAAACCAGCUUGGUUGGAGUCAGGGUCAGUUACUUUUUGCUCACCAAAUGUUUGAUUAUUUCUUUGGUCAUUUGUGCACUUGCUAGUUUGUGUUUCUUAGUUAUAUUUGGCUUUUUGAAUCUGUCACCAUGCCUUAUAAUGACAGUUUAUGCAGCAUUAGUUGAAAUAUUUUAUGUUUAGUUUAUUUUUAGAAGCAAUGUGUCAAAUAGUGUGAGCAGUUGAAGAUGCUUUUGUUCAGUGUCUUGAUUAUAUAAAUAUGUAUUCUCUUAAUGAAAAGUGAUGUAUGAAGAGCUGAAGUUCUGGUAUUUUUUGAGUUUUGUUUUCCCUCUUUGUUUUUCCGGCAAACUUUGGUCUCUUCAUGGAGAGUUUAGGAUGCAUAUCCUUAAGUUUUUUUUUAUCCAGCAGAAACCAAGGAUAACAUUUCCUUUAUCCCUGGUACAAACUCUUCAAAAUUUAUAACAGCAAAAACUAAGGUUUUUGCUUCUGCCUUCGGCUGCUUCUGCUUGGGUAGCCUUAGACAAGUAAUGUGAGCUCCCACUAAAGCCAAGAGAACUUUUUUGGUCAUCAUAAAGAGCUAAAAUAGCUCACCAUAAUAAUUAUGGGACUACCAAAUUUCCAACUUGGAUGGUAGAUUCUUCAUUACAGAAUUUAUUGUCCUUGAAUAUCAUGAAUUGUAAAAUUGCAGAUCUUACCUGCAAUUGGAAAAUUACCACUGUUGGAAUCUCUUUGCAUUGAAGGAAUGGAUGGAGGCUACCAAAGGUCUUGCUUUGGUCAUGUUCCUUGCAGAUAUACAGAUUGCCAAUGCCCAAGCAUGGUUUCUGUUUUAACGAAUAACCUGCUUCUGACUUGAAGAAGAUUGAGAAAUGAAGAUGGCAAGAAUUUACAGUGUUUGGUGGAUGAAGAAGAAGAUACUAGCACAACUUCACCUCUCUUAAGCCAGUUACGGUUGUUGGCUGUUCAGCUGACAUAUCUUUUCCAAAAGAGGAUUUCCCUACCGACCUAACAUCACUUGACAUCACAUCACCCAAUAUUUGUAGGUCACUACUUUAAUAGGGAUUGCAUAGACUCAGCUCUCUCAAAAAACUGUCCAUUAAUGGUGAAGAAUGUCCAGAUGUGGUGUUGUUUCCACAAGAGGCGAUAGGAAUGAUGCUGCCUCCCCCUCUCUGCGAUAUCAACAUAAGUGAUUUCGACAACCUGAAAUUUCUAUCCUCGGAUGGCUUUCAAAACCUCACGUCUCUUUGGUCUUUCGAGAUCACUGAUUGCUCUAAGCCCACAUCUCUUCCAGAAAAAGACAUGCUUCUCGCACUUUGCUAUUUUCAGAUUGAUGAUUGUCCUUUUCUAGAAGAAUGGUGCAAAAGGGAUAAAGGACAUACCUCAUGUUGAAAACAAUAAUGAACAAAAUUAUCCCAAAGAAGUUGAAAUCUAGAAAUUGAAAGUCAAAAGGUAUUAAACCAUUUGAAAGAUAGGCCAGAUAAUUGAAUUCUGAUUAUUUAUUCAUUUAAUUUUUGUUAGAUACAUAAGAUAAUAGUAAGUCUGAUAUGUUAUUGAUGAUAUAUAAUUAAUUUACAGCCACAUUGGAGGCUUGAAAGCUACAAAGUGCAGUUCGUAUAUAUAGCUCUAUUCAAAGAUCAGGUACAAGCUUCUCAUUUUCUUUUUCCAUUUCACUUGCACUUAAGCAUAGCAUGCUCAUCAAUCCACAACAUUUAACCAUUAAAACACUUGUGCUCCUCUAACUUCAGGUCUAAACACCUCUUGGUGUGAAUUUGUUGAUUCAUCAUUUUGGCUUACGAAACUGAUUAAAAAGUUCAAGGAUGAAAGGUGAGUUGAUUUUUUUCUACUUUUUUAUGUCAUGUACAUUGAAGAAUUGAAAAGUGAUUGUUAGAAUAUAUACGCAGUUUCAUGGACAAAAUUGUGUUUUAUUUUUUGGUAAGUUAUAUAUUCGUUCAUACAGAAGCAUAUUUGUUUUGAUUUCAGGAGAUUGCCAUUUUGUUAAAGAAAAUUUCUCUUUCUCCUUUUCCAUAUUAUCAAUUUUCUUUGUACGUGAUUACUUUAAACCACACGAAUUAUGCUUUCCUUGAGUAUGUUGGAUAGUGAACUACUUUCUGUUCUUUUAGUAUUUUAAUGUUCAUUUAUUUAGUCCUUUGCUUUCUGAGUUUGUAGAGAAUGGAGAGGAAAGGAAAAAUUACAUCCAUAAAAUUCUAAUUUUUUAUUAGAUUUUCCAUUUCAGACGAGUGUGUCCCCACCAAUUGAAUGUUACUUCGAAUCUCUGCUGCUAAAAUCUGUAUACCAUUAUUACAUUGGGGAGAGCACAUACGAAUCUGUCGUGGACAACUUCCCAUUGGUGGUGCUAACGAUGCAGCCGGCCACCUUUCAAACUUUCCUUGUCACCAAGAAGUUCCUAAAUUUGGAAUACCAGCACUGCAAGGGUUUUCAGAGCAUCUCCUUCCUCAAAGGUUUGUAUACUUAAUUGCCUUAAUCUAUAAAAAGGGAUAAAAGAUGAAGUGAUUAGAGAUAUCUCCUGUAUUAAUAAGUAAUAACAGAUUACUUAUAAGCCACAAGAGGAACAGUGAAAACUUGUUGUUUUUCAUCGAAAAAGAGCGAAAAAAGCAGAAUAUACCAUGCUUGUAAAUUCAAUCCUAGGUAUGUCAAUGGGAAAAUCCUCUCUCCUUUUUUUUCUUUGAACAAUUAAUUAAAACUUGUAUGAUCACCAAGUGUUGAUUUACUUGUACAUACAGAAGUCUGAACAUGAUUAGGAAACAGCAAGGAUGAAUUCAGCCUCCAGUUCUAAUCUAUUGGCCAUAAAAUCAAUGCAAUGCAGAGGUGAGCUUUUAUAUAUUGGACUAUAUUAAGAUUAUAUGCCUCACCAAUAGAAACAAUCCCUUCUUCUAAAUGAUAUAUGCAUGCAUAGUUCUAUUAUUGUAUUGAAUUUCCUCUAGCAGUCACAUAAUAUUGUUUCCACACCACUGGAUAUUACUUAUUAGCCACAGAAGGGAAAAACGGCAAGAAUCAGAGAAACUACCAUACUUGUAGAUAUAUGGUAUGUCAAUUGGAAAAUCCUCCUGUUCUUUUUACACUUUGAUAAUAAUUAAUUAAAGUUUUUAUGCUAACCAAGUUUUAGUCUAGUGUGUACAUGCAGAAAUCUGAGCAUCCAUAGGAAGCAACAACAAUGAAAUUUAACCUCCAGUUGUAAUCUAUUGACUGUAUAAUCAAUUCAAAGCAGAGGUGAGCAUUUUAUUAGACUACCUUAAGAUAAUAUCCCUCACCAAUGGACAGCCCUUAUGAUAAAUAACCUUUUGCAUAUCUAUUAGUUACUCAUCUUCAUUCUCAAUAGUGUGACCCUCAUUCACAAUNGGCUUACGAAACUGAUUAAAAAGUUCAAGGAUGAAAGGUGAGUUGAUUUUCCUCUGCUUUUAUAUGUCAUGUACAUUCCCAUUAAAAGAAAUGUCAUGUACAUUAAAGAAUGGAAAAGUGAUUGUUAGAGUACAUAAGCAGUUUCAUGGACAAAAUUGGGUUUUAAUUUGGUAAAUUACAUAUAUACUUGCCUUGUGAAAUUGUUAGUUGUUUAUACAGAAGCAUAUUUGUUUUGAUUUCAAGAGAUUUCCAUUUUGUUAAAGAAAAUCCAAGUCUCUCUUUCCUUUUCUAUGUUAUCAACUUUCUUUAUACCAUGCCAAUUAUGCUUCCCUUGAGUAUGUUGAACAGUGAACUAAUUUCUUUUCUUUUAGUAUUAUAAUGUUCUUGUAUUUAGUUUUUUGCUUUCUGAGUUCGUAGAGACAAUGUAGAGGAAGCAAAUAAAUUUCAUCCAUAAAAUUCUAAUGUUGUAUUGGAUUUUCCAUCUUAGAGGAGUGUGUCCCCACCAACUGAAUGUUACUUUGGAUCUCUGCUGCUAAAAUCUGUAUACCAUUAUUACAUUGGGGAGAGCACAUACGAAUCUGUCGUGGACAACUUCCCAUUGGUGGUGCUAACGAUGCAGCCGGCCACCUUUCAAACUUUCCUUGUCACCAAGAAGUUCCUAAAUUUGGAAUACCAGCACUGCAAGGGUUUUCAGAGCAUCUCCUUCCUCAAAGGUUUGUAUACUUAAUUGCCUUAAUCUAUAAAAAGGGAUAAAAGAUGAAGUGAUUAGAGAUAUCUCCUGUAUUAAUAAGUAAUAACAGAUUACUUAUAAGCCACAAGAGGAACAGUGAAAACUUGUUGUUUUUCAUCGAAAAAGAGCGAAAAAAGCAGAAUAUACCAUGCUUGUAAAUUCAAUCCUAGGUAUGUCAAUGGGAAAAUCCUCUCUCCUUUUUUUUCUUUGAACAAUUAAUUAAAACUUGUAUGAUCACCAAGUGUUGAUUUACUUGUACAUACAGAAGUCUGAACAUGAUUAGGAAACAGCAAGGAUGAAUUCAGCCUCCAGUUCUAAUCUAUUGGCCAUAAAAUCAAUGCAAUGCAGAGGUGAGCUUUUAUAUAUUGGACUAUAUUAAGAUUAUAUGCCUCACCAAUAGAAACAAUCCCUUCUUCUAAAUGAUAUAUGCAUGCAUAGUUCUAUUAUUGUAUUGAAUUUCCUCUAGCAGUCACAUAAUAUUGUUUCCACACCACUGGAUAUUACUUAUUAGCCACAGAAGGGAAAAACGGCAAGAAUCAGAGAAACUACCAUACUUGUAGAUAUAUGGUAUGUCAAUUGGAAAAUCCUCCUGUUCUUUUUACACUUUGAUAAUAAUUAAUUAAAGUUUUUAUGCUAACCAAGUUUUAGUCUAGUUGUACAUGCAGAAAUCUGAGCAUCCAUAGGAAGCAACAACAAUGAAAUUUAACCUCCAGUUGUAAUCUAUUGACUGUAUAAUCAAUUCAAAGCAGAGGUGAGAUUUUAUUAGACUACCUUAAGAUAAUAUCCCUCACCAAUGGACAGCCCUUAUGAUAAAUAACCUUUUGCAUAUCUAUUAGUUACUCAUCUUCAUUCUCAAUAGUGUGACCCUCAUUCACAAUAGGUUUAAGUAGAUGAACCCUGAUUGAAAGUACAUUGCAGUUCUCAAGUAAUGCGUAGAAUUAUUUUUUCACACCAGAACUGUUGUACAACUUGGCACACAGAGAUGCAAAGAGCUUAUGUAACAGCUUUCAUGGCUCUUUAUGCCAAGCUUUUUUUGCUUCUAAUAUUACAUAUUACCAUGCCCUGCAUGUUGCUUCUUCAGCCUUCAACACUAAUCUCUCUAUGUCAAUCCCAGUGAGUCUUCAAUCCCUCCAAAUGACCCAAAAAGUAUCACUAGAGGCAAAAAGUGUCACUAGCGGCAGCACCAAUGCUAACAUACAUCAUUGCAACAUGUCAUCACCUAAAGAGCAAUCAAUGUCAUUGACAGUCAAGAUUUUCUUUUCUAACACUAUGAAUCAGUUGGGUAAGAAUAACUUAUUAAAAAAUUUGCUCUUCAUUUAUCAUUUCUCUUUGCAAAGAAACUUCUUCAAAUUCAUCAGUAGUAUCAUCACUAAUAGAUUCACACUAAUCCCUUAACAAAUUUUCAUAGAUAGACUUUGUAAUGUGCCAUAAACUAGUUGAGCUUCAGUUUUCUUUUUCUUUUUCAUGAUUAUGCUAUAUAAAGUUUGUAUACUAUGGUAUUGGACUUCAGAAGGAUUAAUUUUCUUGCGCUUUUGAAUUGAGAUUAUGAGAUGUAUAAUAGAUUCAAGCUAAAUGUUAAUCUCUUUUUCCUACUCUUCGUCCUUUCUCUUUUAUCUUCUUCUUUGGCAAAUAAAGAGAUCCAACAAAUUUCAAUACAGGAAAUAAACUGAAUUUUUAUGGCUAUCAUCUGAUGGAUGUUAAGCCAUAAUGCAUGAGCAGGCCUUAAAUCUUCUUGUUUCGCUGAUAGCGAUCUAACUUCUCUGUCACUUGGCUGUGGCAAUGCUUAAAACUUCUGCAGAUCAAAACACCUUUUUCCUUUUAUUGGAUAUGUAUAGUGCAUGCCUUCAUUUUGUAUAAUCAGUAAUGUUCUUUGGCUUUUCAGAAGGUUCUUGUCUGUGUCAUCCCUGUGCCAAAAAGGAGCGUUACAAUGGUAGACGGGAGUUUUGAUGCAAGAUGUUCUAAAAAUGUUUUACCUCUGUUGGUGCCUCAUCCUUAGUCCCACGUAAGUCUCAUGAAUGGUUGGGAAUAGCUAAGUUAUUUUAUUGUUUUUUGACUAGAAUGUCAACAUGAUGUCAUGGUCUUACCCCUGAGGCCACAUUGUUUGACCAGGUGCCACAACCAAAGAAGCUGAAUGUCAAGUUUCCUACUAGUGUUAGUGUCAAUUUUUUAUAUUAAUAGUUAUUCUGUUUUUUCUUCUUGGUAUUUUAUGUUCCUUCAUUAAUAUUGGGAAUUUGGACCUAUGCAUUCUUUCAACCUGAUAUUUUAUUGUAAAAGAAAUGCCAUGAGCAUGGAUAACGGAUGUGGGCAUGAUAACUUGUCAAGUCACCAUACAAAAUUCAUGAAAGCAUAGUGAUUUGCGACCAGGCUGCCAUUGUUGGGAUUUUUGUUAUUGUGGAUUAUGGUGAUUAUUAAAGUCAUAACUGUGGCAAUUUUUUUCUAACAGGCUACUCGUUAUCCAUCACUUUAUGAAGCAAUCGAUGGGUUGUGCAACAGCUACUGAGCCAAGAUUAAAGCAGAAUGGAUUGUUGUGACAAAUUAUUGAUCUGGCACUACCAUGGAGUUUUCUACAGCACUAAUUCAUGGGAAAUAAAAAGCUGAUGAAGUCUUUAGGCCACUUGUACCUACUUUCACUGCAUUAUUUUUCAUAUACAUUCUUUUAGGGGAAAUGAGAAUGGGGGUGAGAGUGGGGAUGCUAAUUGGUAUAUCAAUAAAGUUUAUCACUGUUUGCUAAAGGAUACUUAUUUGUAUUCAGGUGAUGUGUCCUAACCAGGUAAUGGUUAUGCAAUCAGGGAGCUAAUCUCUACGAUCCAAACACAGAAAUUCAAUUAUAGCCAACUGGUGAGAUUUUUGCUUUGCUUUAUGAUUUUUACUUCAUCGUUUCAUAUAAUAGUUCACACAUAUCUGUCUUAUUUCUAAAGCAUAUCUCCAAUUAUAUUUACUUGCAUCUAGUUGAUGUCAGCAGAAUUUUAGAACUCAUCUGAGUUUCAAAAAUGUAUUAGUUCUAACUGUGUCUGACCAUAUACAAUAAAUAAUGAGAUAGCAUAAUGGGGAAUUCUUGGAAAAGUGAAGUAUACUUUAGAUAUACUUAUUAUUAUUGUCAUCGAAUGUCUGAAAAUAUUUGAUUUUUUUGCUUUUUGUUUAUAGCUCCUGAGAAAGGGAAAUGAGUGCCAAUAGUAAAAUCACCACAUAUUUGCAGAACCUGAGGUCUCCCAAUUGGGAAGGUGGGCAACACCUCACUUCAGUUCCCUUUCUAUAUAUAACUGUUAAUUAAAUUUUAAUUUUAAUACUUGAAAAUGCAGCAUGAUAAGAAGUUAUUGACCUUUCUUGGGAAGUAGAUUGAAAAUGUAGGGAUCAUUUGUAUGUUUUUUGCUGCUACUUUCCCUUUUUUUCUUAUGUUACUCAGGUCUCUCAUAUUUUCCUAUGUAAUGUAAUUGCAUAAGUUCAGGAAGAGUCAUGUCUAAAAUGUAACCACAAGAAUAUUUUAGUGAUGGCAGGUUCAGAUACUCAGGCAUGCCUCUUUCACCUAAGCACUGCUUGGGACCCUUGUGUCAAGAGGUUGAGGAGGAUUGCAAUUAUGUUCUAUAUUUAUGUCAAUUUUCUUGCAGUCCUGGUGCAAGUUACUUUCUCCGAUGAUGCUAUUUUGGUCUCAUCCCCUUUGCAUCAGAUUCCUGUUGCAAUGCGUUUGAGCCUUUUCUGGAUUACUCUGGUGGUUUACUUCCUAUUCUGCUGCUUCUCCAUGGCUAGUAAGAUAUGAGGCUGGCUUUAAUGAGAAACGGAGGUGGGUGGACGAGAUUAUUUUUCGUUGUAAGCUUUGUUCUCUGCAUUGGCGUAGACCUUUGGCUGAUGGCAUCUUGUUCUCGGACUAGGAUUCUGUGGCUUGCUCCCCUUCCUUCCAGUAACAUCUCCGUGGACCUGCUGGCUGCGGUUGAGUGUUAAGAGAUUCCUCUGGCUCUAUUCUAGCUUUGUUUUCUGGCCAAAUUGGUGUGCUAGACCAAUGUUGUUGAAAUAUAAUACUAUAUUUGCUUUGGAAAUUUUCUCUAGGACAUAUUGGAAAGAGAAAAAGGUGCUGGUGGUUGAAUGAGAUUCGACGGUAGUUGUGCCUUGGGUGAAAAAGUUUGAGGAUUGCCCAUGGAGUGUGUGUGUUACCUUCAAUUAGAUUGAUCCACUUAUUGCUGACAUUGGUGAAGUCUCCUUUGGUAAUAUCUGUUGGGAAGUUAACGGCCUUGCUGACUCUUUAGUGUGUAGAACUGGCAUGUUCAUGGCUUGGUGGUUCAGCAGGCUAUUAGUUUAUCUCCACCCUUUGGGCGCCAUUCUACCAGGCCUGUUAUUAGAGGUUUUAUGCUGUGUAUAUUUUUACGCUUUUGGGUGGUAGUGUAGUCACAGGGAGAUUGCUUGUUAUCUGUACAUGAACCCAAUAUAUAAGAACCAACUCAAGCCGCCACAAGAAUACUCAAGCAGUACAUCACAAGAGUCCAUAACUUUACCAGUAAGUUUUUAUAUUUUACACAUUGAUUGCAUGCUUCAUUCGUUAAGAACGAAAGAAACCAAAUGCUAACACAAGAAAGCACCUGGAGAAGCUUGUGUUUGGGAUUAGCUGAUGGAUGCAAACUAAAGUUAACAGAAAUAAUUUAGAAACUUUCUUCUUUCCCUUUGUAGAAGCAUACAUUGGGAGAUGAAAUUGAAGUUAUACAAGAAUAAAGCUAAUUAAGGGCCAAAGACAACCUUUCCACUCUGCAGCCUCCUUCCCAACCCAACAACAAAUAGCAAAACUUGCAUGAUGAACUCAUCUUACAUAAUGCCAUUUCUGUCUGCCAUAAGAUUAAGGCCUAGAAUUUUCAAUUUUUUUUUUUUUACUCAGCAAGAAUUUUCACUAUUGAAAAUUUAACGUGUGAAUAAAUUUAAAAAUAUUGGUAAAAUUAUAUUUUUUAAAUAUGAAUAAUAAUUAUGAAAAAAAAAUCUAUUAAUUAUUCACUUGACUUUACAAAAAAUAAAUACCAAUAAACUCGUUGUUCAUUACUUCUAUACCAUAUGUGAAUAGUCAUCAAAUAGUUGAAAUCAAAAUAAAGUAGCAUUAUUCUUUAAAAUUUUUCUCCAUCUCUCUCAUUUUUAUCUAUCUCUAUUUAACUUUUAUGUAUUUAUAUUAAAUUUUUUAUGUUUAUACAAAAUUGAGGUUCCAUGGUUUUUAAUAUAAAAAGUUAAAAAAAUCAUGAAAAAUUAUUUUGAAUAUAAAAAAGUAAUAGUAUUAGCUGUUAAAAAAAAGAAUAUAAUAUUAAAAUAUUAAAAAAAUAUAAUAUGAAUACCCUUUAUAAUAAUUUUAAUCAAAAUUAAAAUUUAUAUAAUUUAUUUUACCAAACAGUUUUAACUUAAUUUUAAAAUAUAUUAUUUUCAUAAAAACUUCCUAAUAACUUUUAAGUUAAAAAAAAAAAACCUAAACCAAACAUGCUCUUCGUAAGUUUCUACUUUGUUAAUGGCUCUAAUAUUUUUCCCUCUUUUUUAACUAUGUAUUUCGUAGUUUCAGGGUGGAUUUGAUGGUGUCAGGCAUCAUCUUCCUUAGGGAAGCUAGUGAACUUGCUCUAGAAGCCGGCAAAGCCAAACAUACCUUAUGGACCAAUAUGUGCGUCUUCAACUUGUCUUGGAGCACAUGGCUUACUCAAGGUAAUUUCAACGUCACUUUCUUGGAGACAUUUUAUGGAGAUUAUAUUUAUCCUAGUGACUUGGUCAAUUUAGAAACUUAUCAAACAAAUCAUGAACUUAGUACUUGAAAAGCCAUAAUCUAGUGUUGUUACAUGAAGUAGAUUCUAGAGAGGUGAUUCAAUUUCUUCCAAUAUAUUUUGCAGACGGCAAUUGCUAUUUAGAUUUAACCGAGCACUUCUGGACUUGACAAUUUUGAACUUAUCUUCAAAGAAGUGAGGAAAGGGAAUAAAGUUGGUCUGUAAUUGUGGUACUCUGUAAAAUUCUAAUUUUGUAUUGACUUUUCAUUAGCAGUCAAAUAAUAUUGUUUCCACACCCACUGAAUAUUACUCAUUAGUUACAGGAGGAAUUAUGGAAAACUAGUUGAGAUCAUAGAAGGGAAAAAGGGCAAAAAUCAGAGAAACUACCAUGCUUGUAGAUAUAUGGUAUGUCUCCCUUUUCUUUUUGCACUUUGAUAACAAUUAAUUAAAGUUUUUAUGGCAACCAAGUUUUAGUCUACUUGUGCAGGCAGAAAUCUGAGCAAGAGUAUGAAGCAGCAAGGAUGAAAUUUAGCCUGGAGUUGUAAUCUAUUGACUCUAUAACCAAUUCAAAGCAGAGGUGAGCUUUUAUUAGGCUACCUUAUGCCUCACCAAUGGAAAAUCCCUUACUGUUGUAUAAGUUGGCAUACAGAGAUGCAAAGAGCUCAUGUAACAGCUUCCUUGGCUCUUUAUGUCCUGCUUUUUCUGCUGCUAAUAUUACACAUUUACCAUACCCUGCGUUUGGGUUCNNNNNNNNNNNNNNNNNNNNNNNNNNNNNNNNNNNNNNNNNNNNNNNNNNNNNNNNNNNNNNNNNNNNNNNNNNNNNNNNNNNNNNNNNNNNNNNNNNNNNNNNNNNNNNNAAAAAAAAAAACCUAAACCAAACAUGCUCUUCGUAAGUUUCUACUUUGUUAAUGGCUCUAAUAUUUUUCCCUCUUUUUUAACUAUGUAUUUCGUAGUUUCAGGGUGGAUUUGAUGGUGUCAGGCAUCAUCUUCCUUAGGGAAGCUAGUGAACUUGCUCUAGAAGCCGGCAAAGCCAAACAUACCUUAUGGACCAAUAUGUGCGUCUUCAACUUGUCUUGGAGCACAUGGCUUACUCAAGGUAAUUUCAACGUCACUUUCUUGGAGACAUUUUAUGGAGAUUAUAUUUAUCCUAGUGACUUGGUCAAUUUAGAAACUUAUCAAACAAAUCAUGAACUUAGUACUUGAAAAGCCAUAAUCUAGUGUUGUUACAUGAAGUAGAUUCUAGAGAGGUGAUUCAAUUUCUUCCAAUAUAUUUUGCAGACGGCAAUUGCUAUUUAGAUUUAACCGAGCACUUCUGGACUUGACAAUUUUGAACUUAUCUUCAAAGAAGUGAGGAAAGGGAAUAAAGUUGGUCUGUAAUUGUGGUACUCUGUAAAAUUCUAAUUUUGUAUUGACUUUUCAUUAGCAGUCAAAUAAUAUUGUUUCCACACCCACUGAAUAUUACUCAUUAGUUACAGGAGGAAUUAUGGAAAACUAGUUGAGAUCAUAGAAGGGAAAAAGGGCAAAAAUCAGAGAAACUACCAUGCUUGUAGAUAUAUGGUAUGUCUCCCUUUUCUUUUUGCACUUUGAUAACAAUUAAUUAAAGUUUUUAUGGCAACCAAGUUUUAGUCUACUUGUGCAGGCAGAAAUCUGAGCAAGAGUAUGAAGCAGCAAGGAUGAAAUUUAGCCUGGAGUUGUAAUCUAUUGACUCUAUAACCAAUUCAAAGCAGAGGUGAGCUUUUAUUAGGCUACCUUAUGCCUCACCAAUGGAAAAUCCCUUACUGUUGUAUAAGUUGGCAUACAGAGAUGCAAAGAGCUCAUGUAACAGCUUCCUUGGCUCUUUAUGUCCUGCUUUUUCUGCUGCUAAUAUUACACAUUUACCAUACCCUGCGUUUGGGUUCAUCAGGCUUCAGCACUAAUCUGUCGAUGUCAAUCCCAGUGAAUCUUAAAUGCCUCCAAAUGAGGCAAAAAGUGUCAAUAGUGGCAGUAUCAAUGCUAGCAUAUAUAAAAAAAUAUAAAUAGGGUCACAAACUCCGACAUUUUGAACCCCUUGUUGCUCCAGUUUGUGUGAAUUGUUUGACCUAGGUGCCACAACCAAAGGAGCUGAAUAACAAGUUUCCUAGUUUUAGUGUCAAAUUUUUUAUGUUAAUAGUUACUCUGUUUUUCUUCUUGGCAUUUUAUAUUUAUUCACUACGAUUGGGAAUUUCUUAUAUGUGUUAUGUCUUUUCUUUAACAGAAACAGGGGAAACAGAAUAAAAAGGAAAGAAAGAUAAAUAAAAUUUAAAAUAAAAUGUAUUUAUUUGUUUUCAUAAACUUUUGAAAUGAUAGUGAACUAUGCGGUACUUAUAGGACUUUUCUUGCUGCCAAGCAGUGACAUACAAAAGCUAAACAUUUAAAAUGUUUCAUUUGACCUAGUAACUAAAAUAUUGCCACUACCUACAUCUUGGGAGCUUAGUGACUGUUUAGCUUGAUUUUUUUUUAACUUAUUUACUUAUUAAAAAUAGAAGUCAAUUCAAAUAGGAUUUUUGGCAAGAAAUUUUUUUAAAAAAACAAAAUUUAAAAAAAACCUUAAAGAAAAAAUUUGAAUAUGAACUUUCACUUCUCUUCUUUUCAAAAUACAUCAGCUUUUCAAAAAAUACUCAUCUCUCUCUCAAUCAAUCUCCCUCUACUCUCCCUCCUUCUACAAAUCACUUUUUUCUAACAUAAAUGACAAUCUCCCUCUCUCUCUACAAAGACUACUAGAAAAAAAAAAAAAAUCUAGCAACAGAAUAACAAAAUUUAAAGUUUUUUUGUUUUUACAAAAAUUAAAAAGGAAAAAAAAUCUAAAAUUUAAAGCUGCAUUUAGUAACUAUUUAAAGAUUUUUUUUUUUUCACAAAAAAUGAUUUUAAUAUCAAAUACAUCAUUUUCUCUUUUUUUUUUUGUUGAGGAAUUGAAGCAUCAUGGUCUGAUUAUUUGUUGGAUUAAUAAAAAUCUAAUACUAUUACUAGUACACAAGUUUGAGCAUUAUUUCGUUUUUUUAUGGAUUUUUUUAUUUUACCAUCUAAAAUCAUAUAUAAACUCAAAACAAACUUAUUCUGCUUUAAUUUUUUAAAUGUUUGAAAAUGAUAUGAAUACGCUUUAUGAUAAUUUUAAUCAAAAUUAAAAUUUAUAUUAUUUAUUUUACUAAACAUCUUACCAAACAACUUUAAUUUAAUUUUAAAAUAUAUUAUUUUUCAUAAAACCUUUGUAAUAGUUUUAGAUUAAAAAAAAGCUAAGCUAAACAGUUUCUUUGUAUGUUUUAACUUUGUUAAUGGCUCUAAUAUUUUUUCCCUUCUUUUUAACUAUGUAUUUCGUAGUUUCAGGUGGAUUUGAUGGUGUCAGGCAUCAUCUUCCUUAGGGAAGCUAGUGAAUUUGCACUAAAAGCCGGUAAACCCAAAACAUACCUCAUGGAGCAAUACGUGCAUCUUCAGCUUGUCCUGGAGCCCACGGCUUACUCAAGGUAAUGUCAACAUCACUUUCUUGGAGACAUUUUAUCUUGGUGACUUUGUAAAUUUGAAAACUUAUCAAACAAAUUAUGAACUUAGUACUUGAAAAGCCAUAAUCUAGUGUUGUUACAUGAAGCAGUUUCUAGAGAGGUGAUUCAAUUUCUUCCAAUAUAUGUUGCAUUAGGGAAUUGCUAUUUAGAUUUAACCGUGCACUUCUGGACUUGACAAUUUUGAACUUAUCUUGAGCAAAUUUAAGAUUGCUUAUCUUGAAAGAAGUGAGGAAAGGGAAUAAAGUUGGUCAGUAAUUAUGGUACUCUGUAAAAUUCUAAUUUUGUAUUGAAUUUUCACUAGCAGUCAGAUAAGAUUGUUUCCACACCCACUGAAUAUUACCCAUUAGUCACAGGAGGAAUUGUGGAAAACUAGUGGAUAUCAUAGAAGGGAAAAAGGGCAAAAAUCAGAGAAACUACCAUGCUUGUAGAUAUAUGGUAUGUCAAUUGGAAAAUCCUCCCUUUUCUUUUUGCACUUUGAUAAUAAUUAAUUAAAGUUUUUAUGGUAACCAAGUUUUAGUCUAGUUGUACAUGCAGAAAUCUGAGUCCGGUUGUAAUCUAUUGAGACCAAUUCAAAGCAGAGGUGAGCUUUUAUUAGGCUACCUUAUGCCUCACCAGUGAAAAAUCCCUUACUGUUGUACAAGUUGGCAUACAGAGAUGCAAAGAGCUCAUGUAACAGCUUCCUUGGCUCUUUAUGUCCUGCUUUUUCUGCUGCUAAUAUUACACAUUUACCAUACCCUGCAUUUUGGUUCUUCAGGCUUCAGCACUAAUCUCUCUAUGCCAAUCCCAGUGAAUCUUGAAUGCCUCCAAAUGAGGCAAAAAGUGUCAAUAGUGGCAGCAUCAUGCUAACAUAUAUCAUUGCACCAUGUCACCAGCGGAAGAUCGAUCAAUGUCAUUGAUAGUCAAGAUUUUACUUUUCUAACACUACAAAUCAGUUGAGUAAGAAACAACUGACUAGAAAAUUUGCUCCAUUUAGCAUUGCUCUCUGCAAAGAACUUGUUUGAAUUCAUCAAUAGUAUCACGACUAAUAGAUUCACACCCAUCCCCUAAUAAAUUUCGUAGAUAGACUUUGUAAUGUGUCAUAAACUAGUUGAGCUUUCAGUUUUCUUCUUUCUUUUCAUGAUUAUGCUAUAUAAAGUUUGCAUCCUAUGGUAUUGGAAAUUUGGAAGGGUUAAUUUUCUUGUGCAUUUUGAGUUGAGAUUAGAGAUAUAUAAUGGAUUCAAGCUAAAUGUUAAUCUCUUUUUCCUACUCUUCCUCCUAUCUCCAUUAUCUUCUUAUUUGGCAAAUAAAGAGAUCUAACAAAGUUCAAUACAAGAAAUAAACUGAAAAUUUUGAUGGCUAUCCUCUGAUGGAUGUUAAGCCAUAAGCUACCCCGCAUUGCAGCAUGAGCGGGCCUUAAAUCUUCUUUUCUAGCUAAUAGCAAUCUAACUUCUCUUUCACUUGACUGUGGCCAAGCUCAGAACUUCUGCAAAUGAAAACACCUUUUUCCUUUAUUAGAUAUGCUUAUAAAUGUCAACAUGAUGUCAUAGCCUUGUCCUUUAUUAGAUAUUCACUACGAUUUGGAAUUUCUUAUGUGUGUUAUGUCUUUUUUUUAACACUGCUUCCGCUUCCAAAGUGUUAAAUGGUAAGGCAAACUUCUUCAAACAGUUCGUGCAUUUAGUUUCAUAGAACUGCUUUUUUCUUUUAAUUCCUUCUGUGCUUCGAGGUUUUUUUGGCUGUUUUUGAAUGGGACUGAGCUGAUGGAGGCUUUUAUAAUAAUAAACCUAUUGAGGAGAUGAAAGAUAAUGUGACAGGGGAUUCUGUCAACAAGAAGCUUUGCAUGCUUGCCACAGUGUCAAUAUUGUUGCUGAUGCUCUUAUCUCUGAUUUCAAUGCCAUGGUUGUCAAUCUCAUUGCACCCCCUCUAGGCUGUAAGUGCCUCUCUCUGUUUGAAUGAUGCUUGUGUUUCUGAUUCCAUUUUUUUGUUGUUUGAGCUUGAGAUUUCCUUUUGCAAGACAGUUCCCAAAUUUUGUGUUUGAAUUUGGAAUUUGGACCUCUGGAUUCUUAGAAAAUAUUUUAUAAAACAGUGUCUAACCGUAUACAAUGAAUAAUGAGAUAGCUUAAUAGGGGAUUCUUAGAAAAGUAAAGUUUUAGAAAUAUUUAUUAUUAUUGUCAGAAAGGGCAGGAAAGCGGCACAGAAUCAGAGAAUAGGAAUAUUCUUAUUUCACAAAAGUAGGGAAAAGCCUUUACAAGGUUUAUAUACAAAGAUUCAGUAUAAAGCUAAAAAGGAAAAACAAGUCAUUAAAGCAUAACUAACUAAUCAGUACAUUAACUAAUUUUUGAAAUAAAACGGUGCAGCUUUGAUUUCUUCUCCUUUUAUUGAAACGUUGCCUACAGGUCUUCUCUUCUUCCUUUCUACCCCAUUUUUAUUGAAACGGUGCGUUGGGGUCUUCUCCUUGUGACUGUCUUCUUUUCAACCCGAUCACCUCUGCUCAGGUCAGUCACUUAUUCAGCUUUUCAAUUCUUCAAGUGUAAGUUCAAUAAUUAUUGCCAUCAAAUAUCUGAAAGAGAUUUGAUUUUUACUUCUUUUUUAUAGCUCCUGAGAAAGGGAAAUGAGUGCGAAAAGUAAAAUCACCUCGAGAUAUUUGCAGAACUCGAGGUCUUUCAAUUGAGAAGGUAGGCAGCACCUCACUUCAGUUCCCUUUCUAUAUGUACCUGUUAAUUAAAUUUUAAUUUUAAUUUCAAUAUAUAACAUUUCUUGGGAUGUAGAUUGAAUUCUGCUUUGGGUUUGUAGGGAUCAUUUGCGUGUUCUUUGCUGCCACUGCAACCACUGCUGCUGCUACUUUUGCUUUUUUUCAUAGGUUACUCAGGUCUCUCUUAUUUUCCUAUGUAAUGUAAAUAUACGUAAUUGAUUUCUUUACAUCACAAGUCCUAGAAGAGUCUGGUCUAAAAUGUAACCACAACACUGUUUUGAUGAUGGCUGGCAGGUUCAUUUACCCCCAGAGAUAGGGCGUGCCUCUUUCAGCUGAACACUGUUAAGGACCCUAGUGUCAAGAGAUUGAGGAGGAUGGCAAUCAUGUUCUAUAUUUAUGUCAAAUGUUCUUGCAGUUCCGGUGCAAGUUACUUCCUCCCAUGAUGCUAUUUUGGUCUCAUCCCUUUUGCAUCAAAUUCCUCUUGCAAUGCUUGUGAGACUUUUCUGGAUUGCUCUGGUGGUUUGCUGUCCAUAUAUUCUGCUGCCUCUCCAUGGCUAGUAAGAUAUGAGUCUGGCUUUAAUGAGAAAAAGUGGUGGGCUGAUGAGAUUAUUUUUCUUUGUAAGCUUUGUUCUCUGCAUUGGGUUAGAGCUUGGGCUGAUGGCAUCUUGUUUUUGGACUAAGAUUCUGUGGCUUUAAGGAGACUUGGUGAAGUCUUUGAAGCAUGUUGCCCUGUCAAAUUUAUCACCUGUUGAUUGUCAGUGGCAUCCAGAAGAAGUGAAUGGUUAUCUAUCACCUCUGCAAGCAGCUGGAUUUCCAGUUCUCUUUCUCCCAUUUGUAUUUUUUCCUUCCCCUAAAAAGUUGCCAAGAUAGGCCUUGGGUUUCUUCCUAUGUAUUUCAACUGUUUGUUCAUUCAUAGCUCCCUGUGUAUCACAACUUGUCCUGAAAAUUUUAAUUUAGUAUUUCAAUGAAUGAUGUGGCUUACUCAUAAAGUCAAAUUCAAACUUCCUUAAUAUAAAUUCGGCAUCUACCAGUCAACUAUCUUAUAACAUUCUAGUGUUUGGUCACUAUUAUAGUUCGACGAGACUAUAAAAAAAAUCUUAGUAAGUUCUUAUUACGAUUAAAUUCAAGUUUAUUGAAUGUUUCUAAUCAAAAUUUUUAUAAAUGAUUGUAAUUGAAUGUCUCAUGAAUCAAGGUAAAAUUAAUUACUAAGUAAUUUUAAUUCAAUUUUUUGAUAGUUUUAAUAGCUAAGCUAUACCUUGCACUUUUCAUUAACACUUGCCAACACAUUUAUUAUAAUUCUAUUAAUUAGGUACUUGUUUAUUGCCAAAUAUUUCUUCUAUAAGGUUUGCUUGUGCACUCCAUUGAUAUUUUUUUUUUGGAAUUUAAAAUAUAUUCUUUUACAUUGUCUAACAAUUCAACUGUCAUAUUUUUUUACAAAAAUAAACACCAAUAAAGUAGUUGUUCAUUAUUUCUAUACCAUUUGUAAUACUCGUCAAAUAGUUGAAAUCAAAUAAAGUCAUAUUAUUCUUUAAAAUUUUUCUUCAUUUGUCUCAUUUUUAUUUAUCUCCAUUUAACUUUCACAAAAUAUAAAAAAAAAUUAUUUUGAUGUAUUUAUAUUAAAUUUUUUAUUUUUUUACAUAAAUUGAGGUUUCAUGGUUUUUAAUAUACAAAAUACAAAAAGAUCAUGAAAAAUAAUUUUUGAAUAUAAAAGAAAUUAAAAUUAAUAAGGAAGUCAUUGAGCCUAAGAUACCUGUCUCAUCUAAGCAUUUCAUGCAUGAAUGCUUUUCAUUUUUUAAUGAAAAGUAGUAAUACAAUAUUUACAUUUCUCUACAACUAUUACAUAAAUAAGCCAAUAUUUUCAUUGGCAGAAAUAUUACAUUUGGAUAUUUUUCUACAUUCGAUGCAUUGGCAGUAUUUUUUUUUUAACGUUAUAAGUAAGUUUAAAGGGUUGACAUGUAUUCAUUUAGGUAUAUUUUAAAAGAAAAUAAUGAAUUGUUUAAUUCUUAAAUAAACAUAUAAAAAUUUUAAUCUCACUUGUGGAAUUAAAAGAAUUUACUAUCAAUAUACAAAAUAAUAAUCUAUUUUUUCAUAAAACUAAGCAAACUCAUCACUUUAAUUUUUUCAUUCUCUUUUUUUUUUUUGCUAUAUUUUUAUACUUGUAGGGUUACUCACAUUUUUCAAGUAAUUAAAUUUAUUUAUCAUAUGAAUAAUUUUUAAAAAAAUUUAUUAGAAAAUAAAAAUAACUAGGGUUUGGGGAAGUAAGGGGCAAACGGCACUGUUUAGGAGAGAUAACAACGUAAAAAAAUAUAAUAAGGUUUAAGUUAUCCUAUGGAUGAUACCCAGAAUGUAUCCAAAUUUGAGUUAGAUAUUAAAACUUUAUCCAAACUUGCUACAUAAUCAAAUAUAGGGUACUCAAACUUUAUGUUAUCAAGUCGGAUAUCCGUAGAUCUAUUGUAUAACAAUUUCUUUAGGAAACUAUUGAUUGCCUGUACUUAUACCAAAAGGAAUGAACAAGUUAUUUUACUAUAAAUAACAAUAGGACCACUAUAGCAAAAAAAGAGAAUUGCAAGUAAAUGAAAAAUUUUCUACACACUAACUUUAAAGUUUUUAGUUAACAAAUUAAAAAAUUGUCUUAUGAUUGAUUAGAGUAUGUUUAUUGAAAUCAAUAAAUUGUUAUAAUAAUUAAAUAAAUAUGCUAUAUAUAAAAUAAUAAUUUGGCCAAAGAAAAGAGGACAUACUAUUAAAUCAAAAUUUGAACCAACAUGAACCCACCACCACUAGCUUGUUUAGUGCCCAUUUCCUUUAUUUUCCAUGAAGAAGAAUUAAUCAGCCAAGUAACGAUAAAAAAAAGAAAGAUAUUUAAAGAAAUUUUGAUAAAACAGAAUAAAUUACAAAUAUAAUUUUGUUUUGUUGAAGUAUUUUGAAGCACAAAAUUGAGAAAGACCAAUAAUUAAAUAAGCUUUGAUUGAUUUAUUUGAUAAUAACGAAAUCUGUGAAUACCAAAAGGCUGAAAUUAAGUAAGGAAAUGCUUCAUUUUAAAGAGAGAGUAAGGAAAGAAGAAGCAAGUAAAACCAUGGAAAGAUGCAGUAAAAUUAAGAGAGCAAUGAAUGAAGGGAUUAAUGAAUACUUCGGCACGCACCUAAGGACAUGUGAAUUUGUUUAAUAAAUUUUAAAUUGUUUCCAAAGGGAGAGGAAUAGUUGUGAUCAAAGUAUUGGAACACGUGGCCGUACUGGUUCUUUAACUUGGUUUUGCCUUUAUUCAUGGCAGAAACAAACAGAAGUACUACAGUACCCUAAAUAGUCCAAUAACCAAAUUAUUACUACUCACUAGAAUUGAACCCCUACUUUGCGUUGCGGCAAAAUGAAAGAAUAUUUAUUUCGUUGGAUAGAAAACUUUUGAGUUAGAAUUGUUUGUCUUAAAUUAUGUGUUUGUAAAAAUAUCUAUACACAAAAAUUAUUGUAAAGGUAACCACAAAGUGAAUAAUUGUUACAUGGUUGUUCACAAUUUUAUGUAUUAAUUUUCAACUAACUCACAAAAAGUUAAUGCUUAUGAAAAAAAUUAAGAUAAAAUAUAAAUUGUUAUGAAUCAGAAUUAUAUUGUGUUGUUACUAUAAAAGCUAUUAAAGUAAUUUCGUAACUUAAGUAGUUUCUAUUAAAUUUAAUAGAGUAGUAGAGUAUACUGAUUUGAUCAAUAUAUUCCCAACAUUACUGUUAUAUAUUAACUUAAUUAAGAAUAAAGUAACCUAUUUUUCAUAAAAAAACCAACAAAUUCGAACAAAAUUGAAUAAAUAUCUAAAUAAGAUACAUACAAAAAAAUAAACUGAAAAAAAAUAACAAAUUUUUUGUGCUCAAAUACAAAGAUAAGAAACAAACAUAAGGAGGCAGAAAAGAAAUUAAUUAAAAAAUACCAAGCAACUCCAUAUCAGAUUCAAUUUUGUAGCUUUCAUGUGCUCUUAUGAAUAAAUUUUUUACAAACUAUUUAUAGAAAUAAUUACAUAGUUGUCAUAUUAAAGAGACUAAUAAGGAUAGCAGCACACCGAUAAAUAGUUUGUGAUUCUUUUAUGCUAGCUGCUUUGACCUGAGCAUGUGAAAGAAGAAAAAAAAUAUUAAUGGCAGAAAGAAGGAGAAACUAAAGAGAGGUUUGCACAUGAUAUUCAUUAAAUUAAGAUGUUGUAUAAAUAUUUUUUUACAAUCAAUAAUCCAUGGAUUAUAAUAUAAAACUUCAAUGAACGCAAAUAAAAGGUCAUAAAAUAACUAAAUGAUUAUGAAUGAGUAACAAAUAAGGAACCAAAACAAAUUGAAAAUUACAAUCAGAUAAGGCAAGCAAAAAUAAUAGAAAGGAAAGAAACAGAGAAAAAACAAUUGUUACAAAGACAAAAAAUCAAAACUUGAUGAUAAAUAAAAACAAUGAAAUCAGAAACAUGUGAUCAUAAAAAUAUUACCAUAGAUUGUGACAAUCCUUGUCUUCGGACGUGUAACUUGGUAGUUAAUAGAAACUUCUAAUUAAGAGGAGUGGGAUAAAGAUUAAAGAGAAAUAUUUUAAUCACCUUUACUUGGACUUCUUUUUGGGUGUUCUUACUUCGCACUAAACUAUUUCCUUUAAUGCUUCGCCAGUCUUUGCCCAUCACCAAGAAAUCAUUUGGAACAUCAAAUUAAAAAUGCUGAUAAAUGUAAAUGUCAACAAAAAAAAAUAAAAAAUGACUAAAACAAAUGUAAAUAGGUUUGUCACUUAGGCAAGCAGCAAAUAAAUAAUUUGACUGCGCAAAGAUGUAUAGAAACACAUAAGUUGAAGUUAAAAACCUUUGCCUGAAUUAAUUGUACAUCCUUCACCACAAACUCUGCAGCUUUGUUAUGAUCCUCUCUUUGAAGGACAGAAUAUACAUCGUUGACUAGAGCCUCCUCAAAGUUUAAGCCACAAAAGUUGUCAAAUCAAUAUCUCCAUAAGAAAGAUAGAUCUUCAAGGGAUUGAUCCAAAUGGAAUUACUUAUAAUAAGUAUAAAUAAAAUAAAUAAUUAACAUCUAUUUAAAUUGUUCAGUAAUUCAUAUUUAACGUUCUUACGUUCAUGAUCGCAUCAAUAAACAACCAAUGAAAAAUCAUAAGAAUUUAUUCUCAACAGAUUAAAGAUGAAAAAAAAAACAUCAAAUGGCUCAUUCAUCCACCACAACUAAGAGAUAUGGCUAUCACUAUAACACAAAAGCACAACUAUACAAAUAAAUAAUGGAAUGAAGGAAAAAUUAUUUUUUAAAAAUACCCUAUAUGAAAUGGGAGUAAUCAAAUUUCUUUUUAUAUAUUUAAUGGAGUUAAGAAACAACAAUGAAAGCCGAAAAGAAAAAAAAAGGGGACAAAACAAAACUGGGAAAAGAUAGAUAGUAGUCAAAAAUGAAAAGAAAACCCUUGAGAAGAAAAACGCAAAAUCAAAGUAGAGAAAGACACAAAACACAGAAAAUAAGAAAGCAAACUAGCCAAACUCAAAGGGAGAAAUCAGCAAAAACAGAGCAUACAAAUCAAAAAAUGAAGGACACAAACUCGAAAGAACAGAAAGUAUGGCCUUAGAGUAACCAAAAUAAAUAAAGACAAACUCCUCACCCAAAUUUGAAAAUCAAGUCAGACGUGAAACGAAAGCAUGAAAAGCAAGUUAAGCACGUCAUUCCAUUAAAAUCACACACGUGUUUUGUCUGAAAAAAUACGCAGUUCGAGACACCAAACACAUCACAACACCAACUUGGCUCCUCCAACCUUCACGUGGUAAAACUUGGGGACCUGUUGGAGCAUGAAAGCAUUUUACACAAUACCAAGGACUUGGAUGAAAAUGCGUUCAAUGGAUUGACGGGGGUAAAGAUUUUUUUUUUAAAUGUUGCUUUAAUUUAAUUAUGUGUUAAUUGACUCUUCUCUAAAUUGACUUACUCAUUAUGGAUUUAUAAAUUAAAAAUGUGAACAUUAUCUGAGUUGACACGUGGAUAAAUAAGGAAGCCCUUUUGGGGCUUCGUUUUACUUACGUUAUAGAUACUUGUGAAUGCCGUUGAUGCCUUGUCACUAUGAAGAAGGUAACACAUGUAUAGCUAGAUCUAAGAAUAGUACUAGCCUAUCUAUUCCCCGGUUGUUUAUCACGCAAAGGGCGAAGAAUCUUUCAAAGUUCGAUAAGUACUUUAUUGAAAGUACGAAUUUGCUUUUGAUGACUCCGUGCCAGCUUUUUCCUUGUCUUUUUCCCACACUGCCGCUGGCCUCCAACAAACUACUGGUCAUGGGGUCUUUAUUCCAAUGCCUUUACUCAAGUGUUAAGCUACCCCACACAAACUCUUUUAACUUUCACACAGCAAAAAACACCUCUUUUCCACAUACGUACUUCGAUCUCCAUUUUUGAUUUCUCUCUUUCUUUCCUGAGCAUAACUAUCAUGUCUUUUCUUGGGGAGGUUGCUCUCACAGCUUUCUUUGAUGGGUUGUUUGGCAAGCUAUCCUCUUCUGAUUUCCUCAACUUUGUAACUGAAAAGCAGGUCUUCCAGGAGAUCAACAAGUGGAAAAAGAUGCUGCGGGAUAUCCGUGCCGUGCUUGAUGAUGCAGAGGGGAAGCAGAUGAAGGAUCAGUAUGUGAAGAACUGGUUGGCCGAUCUUCAAGACUUGGCUUACGAUGUUGAUGACAUUUUGGACGAGUUUGCCACUGAAGCUUUGGGGCACAAGCUGACAUCCUUGGAGGAACCUCAAGGCAUAAAAAAUAAGGUACAAAAGAUCAUUCAUGCUUGUUUCUCUUCAAAAACUUUCAUGUUUAAUAAUAAGAUGAUGUCCAAGAUUAAAGAGAUCAGUGCUAGAAUGAAUGAUUUGGCCACACAAAGAACUCAAUUGGAAUUGCGAGGCAUUAAUGGGGGAGCAAGGUCCAACAGACUGAUACAAAGGCUUCAGCCUACUUCUUUGGUGGAUGAAACUCAGGUGUACGGUAGGCAAGAAGAAAAGGCAGCAUUACUUGAAUUGCUUCUGAGCAAUGGUGGUACUGACAAUGAAGCUUCUGUGAUUCCCAUCGUUGGCAUGGGAGGAAUUGGCAAGACAACUCUCGCACAACUUGUCUACAAUGAUACUAGGAUACAAAAUUCUUUCCAUGACAAGGCGUGGGUAUGCGUUUCUGAUGAUUUUGAUGCCGUUAUGAUAACGAAGACAAUUCUACAAUCAAUUGCUCCUGAUUCUUGUACCAAUAUUAAUGAUUUCAAUUUGCUUCAAGUCAAGUUGAAGGAGAAGCUGGCUGGGAAAAAGUUUUUGCUUGUCUUGGAUGAUAUCUGGAACGAGAAUUAUCUGGAGCUGACCAACCUACUCUCUCCAUUCAGAGUUGGAACCAAAAUUCUCAUUACAACACGGAGUCACAAUGUUUCUUCUAUUAUGGGCACUGUUAAAGCUUACCCGCUACAAAAGUUAUCACAGGAAAAUUGUCUAUCUGUAUUUACUCAACAUGCAUUAAGGGCAAAUGAUUUUAGUGGGCAUCCUGAAUUAAAAGAAGUUGGGGAAAUUAUAGUGAAAAAGUGUAAAGGCUUACCUUUGGCUGCUAAAGCCAUUGGUGGUUUACUACGCACUAGCCUGUACUAUGAGGCAUGGAAAGGUAUAUCAGAAAGCGAGAUAUGGGGCAUACCAGAAGAGGAAUGUGGCAUAAUUCCAGCUCUACGUUUGAGCUACCAUCAUCUUCCUUCACAUUUGAAGCGAUGCUUUGCAUAUUGCUCUAUACUCCAUAAAGAUUAUGAAUUCGGGGAGGAGGAAAUAAUCCUGUUAUGGAAAGCAGAAGGUUUUCUACAACCAGCAAGCCUUGGAACUCAACUCGAAGUUCUAGGUAGUCAAUAUUUUCGAGAUCUAGUCUCAAGGUCAUUUUUUCAAGCAUCUACUAGGAACAAAUCUCGAUUCAUAAUGCAUGAUCUUGUCAAUGAUCUAGCUCAAUCGGUUGCAGGGGAAAUAUGCUCCAAAUUGGAGGAUGAUAAACAGUUGAGAUUUUCGAAAGGUACUCGACAUUCAUCUUAUGUUCGUGGUCGUUAUGAUGGAAUGAAAAAGUUUGAAGCCUUAAAUCAAACAAAGCAUUUACGAACCUUUCUACAGUUUCCUGGAUCGUCAUGGGCACCUGAAGGUGAUUGUUAUUUAAGUAAGAAUGUCCUGGUUGAUUUACUGCCCAAACUUAGAUGCUUAAGAGUUCUUUCUUUGAAAGGGUAUCGCAUCAUUGAGUUACCAAACUUUUUUCAUAACUUAAUGCAUUUGCGCUACUUGGACUUUUCUCAUACUACAAUUAAAAGUUUGCCUGAUUCAAUACACAUCCUUUAUAAUUUAGAAACUUUACUAUUAUGUGGUUGUAGAUUGCUUGAAAAUCUACCUUCAAAUUUACAAAUUCUAGUCAACUUACGUGUUCUCGACAUCACUAAUACACCUUCAAUGAAAGGGAUGCCAUUUGGAGUUGGUAACUUAACCAAUCUUCGAAGACUAUCUGAUUUUGUUUUGGGCAAAGGUGAUGGACAUCAUAUACAAGAGAUGAAGAAUUUGUUAAAUCUGAAGGGUAAGCUUUGUAUCUCAGGGUUAGAGAACAUUGUUAAUGCUCAAGAUGCAUGGGAGGCUAAGUUAAUAUAUAAGUCAGGCCUUCGCACAUUAGAACUAAAGUGGAGUAGAGAAUUUGAUAGUAAUAGAAAUAAAGAAGUUGAAGAAGAGGUCUUGAAUUUGCUUGAACCUCAUAAAAAGCUUGAAGAGCUCUUCAUUCAGGAUUAUGGUGGUACAAAAUUUCCGAUUUGGAUGAAUUCUUCAUUACAAAAUUUGCCGUCUUUGGUUCUCAAGGGCUGUAAAAAUUGCGUAUCACUACCAUCAAUUGGAAAAUUACCAUUGUUGAAGAAUCUUUCUAUUGCUGGAAUGGAUGAGUUAAAAAAGGUUGGCAUUGAGUUCUAUGGGGAGAAUCACUCAAAUGCAUUUGCUUUGUUACAGAGUUUGAGCUUUGAGAAUAUGCCACGAUGGAAGGAAUGGGACUUAGUUGAUGAGCAAGUUGAGAAAUUCCCUAGCCUCAUCGAGCUUUCCAUCAAAAACUGCCCUCAAUUGUUGGGAAGGUUGCCUAACCAUCUUCGUUCCUUGGAGAAGCUUGAAAUUCGUGACUGUGCACAAAUGGUGGUUUCACUUUCAGACCUUCCAAAGCUGUCUCAAUUACAAAUAGAUAGGUGUGCAGAGUUGGUGCUUAAAGAUGAUGCAGACUUUUGCUCAAUAAAAAAAAUCCAUCUUUCAAACGUUGGAAAGUUUUCUACUCCAACAGAAAGGCUGGUAUCAACAUCAACAACAUUGGAGCAUUGUGAGAUUUCUGAUUGUGAGGGAUUGACAUAUUUAUCGCUAAAGAAGUUGGGACUGUUGGGAUCUGUCCGUAAAUUGGAAAUUUAUAAUUGUCCACACCUUCUGUUUUUAGAGCCAGAUGAGGUAGAGGAGGCAGAGGAGGAGCUGUUUCAAGUUGGGAAUCUUUGCAAUAUCGAAUCUUUGAUAAUAUGGCAAAUUGGUCUUAAUAUGGAAUCUUUGAGAAUAAGAAAGCAUUUUCUCCCAUUUCUUACAGAGAUGAAUAUUCAAAACUGCCCAAACAUAGUUUGUUUUGCAAAGAACAACUUUCCCCCACUUCUGAAAAAGUUAGAGAUUGUAAAUUGCGAGAAUUUGCGGUGUUUGGUGGAUGAAGGAGAAAAUAUAAGCAUCGGUAACAUAUCUUCUCUUGAGCUUUUGGAUAUUGAUGGCUGUCCAUCUCUAAUAUCAUUAUCAUUACCUGUUAGGCUUCGACAUCUUAUACUUAUGAGUUGCUCAAAGCUAGCUUCCUUAUCAGAAAGUGGCAAGUUACCCAUAGGGCUUAAACAGCUUGACCUUUCUUUCUGCCCAGAGCUCAAAUCCAUUGCAGAAGUAAUUGAUGAAAAUGCUUGUCUUGAAUCUAUUAGCUUCUUCAGUUGUGGUAUUAAAUCUUUACCGCAAGGAUUAGACAAGCUCAACCAUCUUCGGAGUAUUGAAAUAAUGAGAUGUUCAAAUCUAGUCUCGUUGGAAGGGGUUUUACCCACCACCAAUUUGACUGAGCUUUCUAUCUCCAACUGUGAAAAUUUGCCAGCCCUGCCCAAUUGCAUGCACGGCCUCACCUCUCUUCGAGAAUUACAGGUUGAGAAUGAUUCAGGUGAUCAGAUAUCCAUUCCAGAAGAGGGUAUCUCUACCAACCUAACAUCACUUUCCAUCUCAAUACCAAGAAAUUAUGAGUCUCUACUUGAAAGAGGAUUGCAUAGACUCCCCUCUCUUAAAACACUUUGUAUUUCUGGUGAAGGAUGUCCGAAUAUGGUGUUGUUUCCACCAGAGGAGAUAGGAAUGAUGCUGCCUCCCUCUCUCACCCAUUUGAGCAUUGAAAAUUUUGAAAAUUUGAAAUGCCUAUCCUCCAAAGGCUUUCAAAACCUCACCUCUUUUCAUCAUUUGUCCAUCUUCUCUUGCCCUAAGCUCACAUCUCUUCCUGAAAAAGACAUUCUUAACUCGCUUUUGCAGUUAUUCAUUUGUGCUUGUCCAUUGCUAAAGGAAGAGUGCACAAGGGACAAAGGACGAGAGUGGUCCAAAAUAGCCCACAUACCUCGUGUUCAAAUUUUUGAUUUCUUACCCUUUUUUUGACACCCAAAGGAGUUGAAUUGAAACUUGACUGUAAACUCUGAAAAAAAAAAAAAGAGUUGGCUGUGACAAUCACAGGUAUGAAACCAUUGAAACGUAUGGCAAUUUAGAAGCUUCUCAUUUUUAACUACAAAAUGAAGCUAAUUAUAAUAUUUUUUUUUCAUCAUUGAUUAUUUUCAGGCAAUUCAAAAGCUUUAGAAGGUAACAUGGUGAGAAACUGGGCUUCUCACUUUUUCAUCUAUAAUGGCAGAAUCAAUGUGUAAAGUUUAAUGGUUGGUUAGUAAACUCAUGCUCAUACAACUUCAGCAGUCUACCUGGCAUUUCAAAAGAUCAUUUCAUGGAAAGGGUGGACUCAACUCUGUUUUUCUUGGGCCUCGUAUGUUGAUUUCUUCCUUUUUCAUGCCUAUGAAAGUGCUGCAGAGGUUGAUGAAUGGAGCGGUCCGUUAAUUCUCUGCAACUUUUGGCUACAUUUUUAGUGUUUGAUAAUCAUUUGAUAUUCUAAUAAAAUACUAUUGAGUUUUCUUCAUUUCUAUUAUGAUGCAUUAGGUGCAUUUUUUACAAAUUCAAAGUCUGCCAAUUCUACUUUACUUGACUAUACCUGGAUUACAUCCUUCAUUUUAUUCUUUUAAUUUCGCAUCAUUCUUAUUUGGUCUUUGUGUGACAAUUUCUCAUACUUCAAUCUAUCUUACUUUUCUUAAUUUUUUGGAGAAACUGCUUUAUAAAGAAAAGAAAAGAAAAGAAAAGAGAGGAAAGGAAUAUAAGAUUGCAUAUAUGAAGGUUAGAUGCUCCAUUGAAUUCAUUAAGAAACUUUAAUCUUCUGUUAGAUUUCCAUUACUACUUUGGAUCUCCAAUAGACUAACAUAUUUUAGCCCUUCAUUGAUUGUACUUUUUAGUUUCAACAGUAUAUAAGAGAUGAGCAAUGUUGCUUAUUUUAUGUGCCUUGCUUGUUCUCAGGUAUUUACCGAUCUGCAAUUGCCUUAAUUCUGCAAUCCAUCUGAAAAGUACUCAAACUCACUUUUCCAACUAUCCAUUGCUAACUGUCCUCUAGUAAGUAAACAGUGCAAAAAGGGAUAAAGGAUGGAGCAGUUGAAGAUAGCUUGCAUGUCUUAUGCUUGCAUGAAUGACAGAUUACUCAUUAUCUGGGCAGAAAAGGAAAAAGGUUUUAGAUCUCAUAAGGAAACUUGGAUAAAUCAGUGAAAGAUAUAUCACAUCUCAUUCAGGUUUUAACACAAGGUAUGUAAAUAAGAAAAUUUCUUUUAUCUUUUUUUUUUAAAAGAAAUCCAAAUAAUUGAUUAAAUUUUGAAUGAUAACAAAGUGUUCAUUGAAUUGUACAUGCAGAAACCUGAACAAGAAUAUGAAGAAGGGAAGAAUGAAUUCUGGCCUCCAAAGGUAAUUUGAUGACCUAAUAAUAUAUGGUGAGAUGUCAUUAGGUAACAAUGAAACAAUCCCUCUUAAUUAAACCAUGUUAUGUAUAUGUUUGAAAAGAUGGAGGUGGAACUCUCUCUAACCGUCAUUCUCAACUUUCAGAUAAUCUAGGUACUUUGGGAUGCGUUUGGUGCAAAAGAUGAUGGACAGGAUAUGAUAAAAAUCAUUCUAUCCCUUGUUUGAUGUGCACUUCAAAAAGAAGGAUUGGAUUACAAAUAGAAAUUUUAGUACUGGUGAAGUGGUAAUCGUCGCAUGCUAGCGAAAAUCAAAACUUUACCUGACUUCAUAUGCACCCUUUGCAAUUUAGAGACCUUGCUGUUAAAGCGAUGUCACGAGUUAGAAAAGUUAACCUGAGAAAUAGAAAUUCUAGUCAAAUUGCAUCAUCUAGACAUUACAAGUCAUACAAAUUCAGCGAAAAGCAAUGACCUUUGGAACUGGUAGAGUAACAAUGGAUAUAGUCAAUCUUUCAAAUAUUUAAAAAUUUUGUACUCUAACAGAGAGGCUGUUGUCACGAUUUGGAAAAUAGGAAUAUUUGAUGGUUGAUAGUUGCAAGGAAUGGACAUGUUUAAUUGCAAAAGGAAUUGGGAUCCCUUGGGAGCCUAAUGUUUCUCCCUUGGCUGAGAGUUUUGAAUUGUUCACAAGUUGUACUUGUAUCGUUAAAGACAGAGGAAGCAGAAGAGGAGCAUUUGCAACUUGACAGGCUUUGCGAGUUUCAAUGUCUAACAAUUACGAAAUGUGAACAACUUCAAAGGCCACCAAAGGUCUUGGAUUUGGUCAUGUUCCUUGCAGAUAUACAGAUUGCCAAUGCCCAAGCAUGGUUUCUGUUUUAACUAAUAACCUGCUUCUGCCUUGAAGAAGAUUGAGAAUUGAAGAUUGCGAGAAUUAACAAUGUUUGGUGGAUGAAGAAGAAGAUGCUAGCACAACUUCACCUCUCUUAAGGCAGUGACGUUUGUUGGCUGUUCAGCUGACAUUUCCUUUCCUAUUCUACGGCGUCUCCAUGGCUAUUAAGAUAUGAGGCUGGCUUUAAUGAGAAAAGGUGGUGGCUGGAUGAGAUUAGUUUUCUUUGUAAGCUUUGUUCUCUGCAUUGGCUUAGAGCUUUGGCUGAUGUCAUCUUGUUUUCAGGCUAAGAUUCUGUGGCCUGCUUCCCUUUCUUCACCAGUAACGUCUCUAAAGGCCUGCUGGCUGCGGUUGAGUGUUAAGAGAUUCCUCUGGCUCUAUUCUAGCUUUGCUUUCUGGCCAAAUUGGUGUGUUAGACUAAUGUUGCUGAAAUAAAAUACUAUAUUUGCUUCGGAAAUAUUCUCUAAAACAUAUUGGAAAGGGAAAAAGGUGCUGGUGGUUGGAUCAGAUUCGACAGUAGCUGUGCAAUUUUUUUUUGUUUUUUUUGUUAAGCCAUCAGAAGCUUUCAUUAAAACAAUGUAAGAUUACAGAUGGUCAAAAAUCAAGACUAGCAAGUAAAAACCCCCUUACAUAAGAACAGAAAGCUCUUAGAAGCACCUAGAAAAACAUCAAAUCAUUUUGUCUUGAAGCCAAUUCAGCGAAUCAUCUCUCAUGGUAUGUGUAAUGUACCAUGGCAUUGCAGAACUUGGGACAUCUUCCACAGGAUGCUUCCACUGCUACUGAUUAACCUUCAAUGUUCAUUCCUGAUAAGCGCUGGAGAUGGUGGGUUCUAGUAGUGCUCAGCAUCGCCUUUCUCUUGCUUGGUCAAUCCAAACAGGUAAAUUCUAUUUCAAUCAUGUUAUAAUAUACGCUUUAACUUAAUCGAUAACAGAAUCAACUAUGUUAUAAAAUUUGUAGAAAUGGAUUAAUAUUGUAUUUCGACGAGAUUACGAUUUUAUCUUAAUAGGUUUUUAUUUCGAUUAAACUCCAAUUUAUUUCAAAUCAGAGUUUUUACAGAAAAUUUUAAAUGAAUGCCUCUUGAAUUAUGAUGAAACUAAUUACUAAGUGAUUGAUACGAUGAAGUAGCAAUUUCUUUUUCUUCUUUCUUUUUCAUUUUUAUUGUGUGAUUUCACGUUUUAAUAACUUGCAUUUAUUAAAGGAAUUUUUUAUUUGAAAAAAAGUUUGAGAUGUAAACCUGAUACAUUGAAUCGAGUGCUUAGAUAUUAUUAAGGGGGCAUUUCAUUGAGACCAUGUGAGCACUGCUACAUAUCUAUAGUUGUCAUCUAAUGGAUUAAAUUUGGUUCAAUUUUAUCACUUUACUUGAUAAUAGUAAGCCAAAGGAAAAAUAAGUAAAUUCAUCACUUUACUAAGUAUAAUGGAUCACAUUUAUCACUAGUUAUUGAACAGAAAUGAUUUGAUCUCCAUAUUUUUUAAUUGAUCUAAAAAAUUGUCAAUAAUUAAUGGUAAAAGGAUAUUUCAAUAAAAAAUAAAGUAAUAUUUUAAUUUUGAGUAUUUUUAAACUAAAUUUAAAAAUAUUGAUAAAAUUUUAUUUGUUUAAAUAUGAAUAGUAAUUGUGAGCAAAAAUCUAUUAAUUACUCACUGGAAUUACAAAUGUGGUAGUCUAUAGAACAUAAAUAUAAAAAUUGUAUCAUUCGCUAACAUCAUAAUGUUUUGGAUGAUGCAAAUGUUUUAAACACUUGCCAACACAUUUAUUAAGCAUUUAUACACAAUAAGCAUUAUUAACACUUGUAUAAAACCACCAAGUGUUUAACAAAGGAUUAACGUUAACAUGCAAAGCUUACACGUUUAUAAACAUCAAGAGCAGCAUAGGUUCUGGUUUACUAAACUAGUACAACAGAGCAAAAUGGAACACACGACCAAUACAUAAUUCUAAAAGCACCCCAAAAUAUAAUUCAAGCUAGUUUUUUAUCUCAACAAUAAUAUACGUAAUCUAUUCAUUAUAUCAUAAGUCCAGGAAGAGCCAUGUCUAAAAUGUAAACCACAACACUCUUUUGAUGAUGGCAGGUUCAUUUACUCACAGAGAUAGGGCGUGCCUCUUUUACCUGAACACUGUUUAGGACUCUGGUGUCAAGAAGUUGAGGAGGAUUGCAAUUAAUCAUGUUCUAUAUUUAUGUAAAUGUUCCUACAGUUCCGGUGCAAGUUACUUUCUCCCAUGAUGCUAUCUUGGUCUCAUCCACUUUGCAUCAAAUUCCUCUUGCAAUGCUUGUGAGCCUUUUCUGGAUUACUCUGGUGGUUUGCUUUCUGUAUAUUCUGCUGCCUCUCCAUGGCUAGUAAGAUAUGAGGCUGGCUUUAAUGAGAAAAGUGGUGAGUGUGUGAAGAUUAUUUUUCUUCGUAUCUCUGCAUUGGUUUAGAGCUUUGGCUGAUGGCGUCUUUGUUUUUGGGCUAGGAUUCUGUGGCUUUAAGGAGACUUGGUGAAGUCUUUGAAGCAUGUUGCCCUGUCAAAUUUAUCACCUGUUGAUUGUCAGUGGCAUCCAGAAGAAAUGAAUGGUUAUUUAUCACCUGUGCAAAACAGCUGGAUUUCCAGUUCUCUUUCUCUCAAUUGUAUUUUUCACUUCCCCUAAAAAGUUGCCCAGUACCUGCAACAACACAAGCCAGCCUUCACUUUUCUUGUCUUCGGUAGGCCUUUGGUUUCUUCUUGUAGAUACUAGAUUUUGGUUAAUACUGUUACUCUAAAGAAUUAUGUUACAACAUAAUAUUAUAUAGAGAACAACCAGAACAAGUGAAGUGUUACUUCACGCAGAAUAACUAGAACAAGUGAAGCGUUACUUCACGCAGAACAAGUGAAGCGCUACUUCACGCAGAACAAGUGAAGCGCUACUUCAAGUAUUACUUAAAGCAGAACAAUUAGAAAAAGUAAAGUAUUACUCCAUAUAGAAUAACUAAUACAAGUAGAACAACCACUUUGAAUAGAAUAACUGUUUCACUUGGAUGACAGUGAAAGUAACUCAGAAUAAGUGACAGGGUUCAUGGGUUACUUUCAUCUUGGGAUGUUUCAGAGAGUUUGGCUUGGUGGCUGAGAUAUGGAGGUAGUUAAGAGGUCUUCCUCUUAACCCUUUCCUGAAGUACAAGUGUUUCACCCUCUUAUCUUGUUCUCGUAUACUUAUUCAUGUACAGCUUAUUCUCUUGUACCUAUUCUCAUACAGCUUCUUCUCUCGUACCUAUUCUUGUACACCUCUUUUCUAUUACCUUUACUUGAGAACAAGUCUUACUACAUUCAAUUACAGUAACGGUUACUUACAUUAAUAUUCUUCAUAAUAAUGUCAUUCAUUAGGCGCAUUAAAGCCUAUUCUUAUGUAACCGUCACUUUUAACACUAUAUAUAGAGCCUCACAAUUCAUUUGAAAGGACUCUUCUUUCCCUCUCCAAGUUAACACAUUCUCAACUUGAGAGCUUCUCUCUCUAAAUUCUCUCUCUAAUUAUCUUGUACUCUCUAAGUCUCUUUAAUUCUUUUCUUAUUGUCUUCCACCUGUCACAGCACUUAGUACUUCAGGAACUGCUUCAAUCUUCCUCUCUGCCUCCUCUGGCACAUCCUUUUACUUGUUUGCAACACUUCCUCUCCCUAUCACAAGAAACCCUGAUUACACUUCUUAUUUCAACUUUUUGUUCAUUCAUAGCUUCUAUGGAAUGUACCUACAAGCUUCUUAUUACAACUUGUCCUGCAAAUUUUAAUUUAGAAUUUCAAUGAAUGAUGUCUCUUAUUCACAAAGUCAAAUUCAAACUUCUUUCCCAAAAUAAAAUAUACAUCUUUUUAAAAGUUGCAUCUGCCGAGUCAAUUAUCAUGUUAUCAUAUUGCUUUAAUAAUCACGAAGAAACCUGCAAUUGCUAAUUUGAUUUUCUGGUGCUUAUUUUGAUUUCAGCCUUUCAGGAAUUUUUUUGCAUUUUCCAUUGCCAAUUGAGUAUUCACUAGGUUUGCUUUGGUUAAGGCCAAAAGAGGUAGAGAAUUCCUGCAAUGUGCAACAAGCUGUCAGUUCUAUUACAGAAGACAAGUAUGGUUGAUUUGAUGGCAAACAUCAUUACUGGGAGAGACUCAUCAAAAAGAUAAAAUUUGGAAUUAGUUUUUUCAUGAAUAAGUUAUAAUGUUAGAGAUGCUCUCUUUUUUCUGUCUCCUUCCCUAAGACAACAAUGUCCUUCCACAAUAACUUGCUGUUCUUUUAAUUUCUUCUAAAGUAAGCACUUGGCAAAAAAUAUUACAAUUGGGUAUCUUCUACAUUCUCAUUUGUUAUUUCUUUUUUUGGAUUAUUAUUCAUGUAUUGGAUAAUAUUAUUUUUUUAAUAUUAUAAUUAAGUUUUAAUGGAUGAAAGGUAUUCAUUUAGGUAUAUUUUUUAAAAAUAAUAAAUUAUUUAAUUAUUCAAUAAACAUAUAAAAAUAGUUUAAACUCACUCAUUACGUUAAAAACUUCAUUAUCGGUAAAUAAAUAAUAAUAAUCUAUUUCUUCCUAAAACCAAACAAACUCGUUACUUUAUUUCUUUCCUUUCGUUUUAUUUUUAAUAUAGUUUUAUACUCGCAAAUUUGAACACAUUUUUUCAGGUAAUUAAAUUUAUUUAUCAUAUAAAUAAUUUGAAAACAUUUUUUGUUAGAAACUAAAUAAAAUAUUAGUUAUUUUAUUCUAGAACUUUGCAAAAGAAAGCUUUAAGAACAAUCUUUAAGAUUAGAAAACAAAAAACCAUCAUGUUAACAUAAAUAUCACUUUAAAAAGUGUGCUUAGAACAUUUAUUUAUUGCGCAUGGAAUUUGCUAUCGGUCACUCAUUGCUUUGUCCUUGUCUUUUCCCAGCAGUUGCCUCUGGCCUUCAACACCACAUACAGUCCAUCCAUGAAUCAGAAUUCCACGGCUGCAAGUCAAUACCCAACUCAAUUAUUAAGCGAUCCUCACUAACUUCUCUAACUUUCAUGCAACAAAAAUACGUCUCUUUUCCGCAUACUUCAAUCUCCAUUUUUUAUUUCUCUCUUUCUUUCUUGAGCAAAACAAUCAUGUCUGUUGUUGGGGAAGCUGCUCUCACAGCUUUCUUUGAUGGGUUGUUUGGCAAGUUAUCCUCUUCUGAUUUCCUCGACUUUGUCACUGACAAGCAGGUCUUCGAGGAGAUCAACAAGUGGGAAAAGAUGCUGCGGGAUAUCCGUGCCGUGCUUGAUGAUGCAGAGGGGAAGCAGAUGAAGGAUCAGUAUGUGAAGAACUGGUUGGCCGAUCUUCAAGACUUGGCUUACGAUGUUGAUGACAUUUUGGACGAGUUUGCCACUGAAGCUUUGGGGCGCAAGUUGACAUCCUUGGAGGAACCUCAAGGCAUCAAAAAUAAGGUACAAAAGAUCAUUCAUACUUGUUUCUCUUCAAAAACUUUCAUGUUUAAUAAGAAGAUCCUGUCCAAGAUUAAAGAGAUCAGUGCUAGAAUGAAUGAUUUGGCCACAAAAAGAACUCAAUUGGAAUUGCUAGGCAUUAAUGAGGGAGCAAGGUCCAACAGAAUGAUACAAAGGCUUCAGCCUACUUCUUUGGUGGAUGAAACUCAGGUCUACGGUAGGCAAGAAGAAAAGGCAGCAUUACUUGAAUUGCUUCUGAGCAAUGAUGGUACUGAAAAUGAAGUUUCUGUGAUUCCUAUCGUUGGCAUGGGAGGAAUUGGCAAGACAACUCUUGCACAACUUGUCUACAAUGAUACUAGUAUACAAAAUUCUUUCCAUGACAAGGCGUGGGUAUGCGUUUCUGAUGAUUUUGAUGCUGUUAUGAUAACGAAGACAAUUCUACAAUCAAUUGCUCCUGAUUCUUGUACCAAUAUUAGUGAUUUCAAUUCGCUUCAAGUCAAGUUGAAGAAGAAGCUGGCUGGGAAAAAGUUUUUGCUUGUCUUGGAUGAUAUCUGGAACGAGAAUUAUCUGGAGCUGACCAACCUACUCUCUCCAUUCGGAGUUGGAACCAAAAUUCUCAUUACAACACGGAGUCACAAUGUUUCUUCUAUUAUGGGCACUGUUAAAGCUUACCCACUACAACAGUUAUCACGGGAGGAUUGUCUAUCUGUAUUUACUCAACAUGCAUUAAGAGCAAAUGAUUUUAGUGGGCGUCCUGAAUUAAAAGAAGUUGGGGAAAUUAUAGUGAAAAAGUGCAACGGCUUACCUUUGGCAGCUAAAGCCAUCGGCGGUUUACUACGCACUAGCCUGGACUAUGAGGCAUGGAAAGGUAUAUCAGAGAGCGAGAUAUGGGGCAUACCAGAAGAGAAAUGUGGCAUAAUUCCAGCUCUACGAUUGAGCUAUCAUCAUCUUCCGUCACAUUUGAAGCGAUGCUUUGCAUAUUGCUCUAUACUCCAUAAGGAUUAUGAAUUCGGAGAGGAGGAAAUAAUCUUGUUAUGGAAAGCAGAAGGUUUUCUACAACCAGCAAGCCCUGGAACUCAACUCGAAGUUCUAGGUAGUCAAUAUUUUCGAGAUCUAGUCUCAAGGUCAUUUUUUCAAACAUCUACUAGGAACAAGUCUCGAUUUGUAAUGCAUGAUCUUGUCAAUGAUCUGGCUCAAUCGGUUGCAGGGGAAAUAUGCUUCAAAUUGGAGGAUGAUAAACAGUUGAGAUUUUCGGAAGGUACUCGACAUUCAUCUUAUGUUCUUGGUUUGUUUGAUGGAAUGAAAAAGUUUGAAGCCUUCGAUCAAACAAAGCAUUUACGAACCUUUCUACCGUUGUUUGGAUCGUCGUGGCCACCUAAAGGAUAUUAUUGUUAUCUAAGUAACAAUGUCCUCGUUGAUUUGCUGCCCAAACUUCGGUGCUUAAGAGUUCUUUCUUUGAAAGGGUAUUGCAUCAUUGAGUUACCAAACUUUUUUCAAAACUUAAUACAUUUGCGCUACUUGGAUUUUUCUAAUACUAGAAUUAAAAGUUUGCCUGAUUCAGUCUGCACCCUUUAUAAUUUAGAAACUUUACUAUUACAUGGGUGUGAAUUACUUGAAAAUCUACCCUCAAACUUACAAAUUCUAGUCAACUUGCAUGUUCUGGACAUCAGUUAUACGUAUUCAAUGAAAGGGAUGCCAUUUGGAAUUGGUAACUUAACCAAUCUUCGAAGACUAUCUGAUUUUGUUUUGGGCAGAGGUGAUGGACAUCAUAUACAAGAGAUGAAGAAUUUGUUAAAUCUGAAGGGUAAGCUUUGUAUCUCAGGGUUAGAGAACAUUGUUAAUGCUCAAGAUGCAUGGGAGGCUAAGUUAAUAUAUAAGUCAGGCCUUGGCACAUUAGAACUAAAGUGGAGUAGAGAAUUUGAUAAUAAUAGAAAUAAAGAAAUUGAAGAAGAAGUGUUGAAUUUGCUUGAACCCCACAAAAAGCUUGAAGAGCUCUUCAUUCAGGAUUAUGGUGGUACAAAAUUUCCGAUUUGGAUGAGUUCUUCAUUACAAAAUUUGUCGUCUUUGGUUCUCAAGGGCUGUAAAACUUGUGUGUCACUGCCAUCACUUGGAAAAUUACCGUUACUGAAGAAUCUUUGUAUUGUUGGAAUGGAUGAGUUAAAUAAGGUUGGCAUUGAGUUCUACGGGGAGAAUCAAUCAAAUGCAUUUGCUUCGUUACAGAGUUUGAGCUUUCGAAAUAUGCCAAGAUGGAAGGAAUGGGACUUGGUUGAUGAGCAAGUUGUGAAAUUCCCUAGCCUCGUCGAGCUUUCCAUCAGUGACUGCCCUCAAUUGUUGGGAACGUUGCCUAAUCGUCUUCAUUCCUUAAAGAAGCUCGCAAUUAGGACGUGUAGACAAUUGGUGGUUUCACUUUCAGACCUUCCAAAGCUGUCUGAAUUAGAAAUACAUGAGUGUGCAGAGUUGGUGCUUAGAGAUGAUGUAGAUUUUCCCUCAAUAAAAAAAGUCCAUCUUUCAUGUGUUGUAAAGUUUUCUACUCCAACGGAAAGGCUAAAGGAGUUGGGAGUAAUUGGACAUCUAAGGUCUGGAUCUCUCCGUGAAUUGGGAAUUUCAAAUUGUCCACAACUCGUGUUGUUAGAGGCAGAUGAGGUAGAGGAGGCAGAAGUGGAGCUGUUGAAAGUUGGGAAUCUUUGCAAUAUUGAAUCUUUGAGAAUAUGGGAAAAAGGUCUCAAUAUCGAAUCCUUGAGAAUAAGAAAACAUUUCCUCGCAUUUCUUACAGAUAUGAUAAUUGAAAACUGCCCAAACAUAGUUUGUUUUGCAAAGAACAACUUACCCCCACUUUUGAAAAAAUUAGGGAUUGUAAAUUGCAAAAAUUUGCGAUGUUUGGUGGAUGAAGGAGGAAAUAUAAGCAUCACUAACAUAUCUCCUCUUGAGGAUUUGGAUAUUAUGGACUGUCCAUCUCUAAUAUCAUUAUCGUUACCGGUUAGGCUUCGACAUCUUAUGCUUUCGAAGUGCUCAAAGCUAGCUUCCUUAUCAGAAAGCGGCAAGUUACCCAUAGGGCUUAAACAGCUCCUAAUUAUUACCUGCCCAGAGCUCGAAUCCAUAGCAGAAGCAAUUGACGAAAACGCUUGUCUUGAAUCUUUUUGUAUCUUUGAGUGUGGUAUUAAAUCUUUACCGCAAGGAUUUGACAAGCUCAACCAUCUUCGGAGUAUUGAAAUAGUUGCAUGUUCAAAUCUAGUCUCGUUGGAAGGGUUUUUGCCCACCACCAAUUUGACUAACCUUUGGAUCUCUAAGUGUGAAAAUUUGGGAGCCCUGCCCAAUUGCAUGCACAACGUCACCUCUCUUCGACAAUUGCAGGUUGAGAAUGAUUCAGUUAAUCAAGUAUCCAUUCCAGAAGAGGGUAUCUCUACCAACCUCGCAUCACUUAAAAUCUCAGUACCAAGAAAUUAUGAGUCUUUACUUAAAUGGGGACUGCAUAGACUCACCUCUCUUAAAACACUUGAUAUUUCUGGUAGAGGAUGUCCGAAUAUGGUGGCGUUUCCACCAGAGGAGAUAGGAAUGAUGCUGCCUCCCUCUCUCACCCAUUUGACCAUUCGAAAUUUCGAAAAUUUGAAAUGCCUAUCAUCCGAAGGCUUUCAAAACCUCACCACCUCUCUUCAUCAUUUGUCCAUCUCCUCUUGCCCUAAGCUCACAUCUCUUCCUGAAAAAGACAUGCUUCUCUCGCUUUUGGAGUUACGCAUUACAGAUUGUCCAUUGCUAACAGAAGAGUGCAAAAGGGACAGAGGACGAGAGUGGUCCAAGAUAGCCCACAUACCUUGCAUUAAAAUUGAUGCGUGGUGGUCAAGCGAAAGUCAAGUUUGAAAGUCACAGGUAUGAAACCAUUUGAAACGUACGACAAGUUAGAAGCUUCUUAUUUUAACAACAAAAUGAAACUAAUUAUAAUAUUUUUGUCAAUGAUUAUUUGCAGGCAAUUUAAAAGCUUUAGAAGGAAACUUGGUGGGAAACUGGGCUUCCCAUCUUUUCAUCUAAAUGGCAGAAUCAGUGUGUAAUUAAUUGUUGGUUAGUACACUCAAGCACAUACAACUUCAACAGUCUACAGGACCCAACUGGUUUUUCUUCAACUUCAUCAUUGAUUUCGGUUUUUUUUUUUUUUUUAUUCCAGACCUAUGAAAAUCCUGCAGAGGCUGAUGAAUGGAGUGGUCAGUUAAUUCUCUGCAACCUUCAUCUACAUUUUUAGGGUUUGAUAACGAUUUGAUAUUCUAAUAAAAUACUAUUGAGUUUUCUUCAUUUCUAUUAUGAUGAAUUUGGUGUAUUUUUUACAAAUUCAAAGUCUGCCAAUUCUACUUUACUUGCCUAUACCUGGAGUACAUCCUUCACUUUAUUCUUUUAAUUUCGCAUCAUUUUUAUUUGACCUUUUUUGUGACAAUUUCUCAUACUCCAAUCUAUCUUACUUUUCUUAAUUUUUUGGAGGAACUGCUUUAUAAAGAAAAGAAAAGAAAACAGAGGAAAGGAAUAUAAGAUUGGACAUAUGUAGGUUAGAUGCUCCAUUUAAUUCGUUAACAAUUUUAAUUUUCUGCAUGUCUUAUGCUUGUGUGAAUAACAGAUUACUAAUUAUCUGGGCAGAAAAGGAUAUAGGUAUUAGAUCUCACGAGGAAACUUGGAAAAAAAUUCAGUGAAUAGAUAUACCACAUCCCAUUCAAAAAGUUGAUUAAAUUUUGAAUGAUAACGAGGUGGUCAUUUAAUUGUACGGGCAGAAACCUGAACAAGAAUCUGAAUAAGGGAAGAAUGAAUUCUGGCCUUAAAAGGUAAUUUGUUGACCUGAUAAUCAAUACAAUUAAAUGGUGGCAUGCCAUUAGGCAACAAUGAGACAAUCCUUCCUAAGCAAACCAUUUUAUGUAUAACUUUUAAAAGUUUGAGUUGGAACUCUCUCUAACUUCAUUCUCAACUUUCAGAUAAUCUAGGUACUUAGGGAUGCGUUUGAUGCGCACUUAAAAAGUAGGAUAGGAUUGCAAAUAGAAAUUUAGUACUGGUGAAGUGGUCAUCGUCGCAUACCAGUGAAAAACAAAACUUUACCUGACUUUAUAUGCACCCUUUCCAAUUUAGACACCUUGCAAUUAAAGCGCUGUCAGGAGUUUGAAAAGUUAACCUGAAAAAUAGAAAUUCUAGUCAAAUUGCAUCAUCUUGACAUUAGUCAUACAUAUUUAGUGAAAGCAAUGCCCUUUGGAAUCGGUGGACUGACCAAUCUUUAAAAACUGUCUAAUUUUGUUUUGGGUGAAGGUGGUGGAUAUCAGAUAUGGGAGAUGAAGAAUUUGUGGAAUCUCAAGGGUGAGAUUUCUAUUUCAAGGUCGGAGAGCAUUGUUAAAGCUCAAGAUGCCUGGGAAGCUAAGUUGGUUGAUACCCAGGCCUCAAUGAGUUAGAAGUGGAUUCCAACUUUUGAUAACAAUGCAAGAAAUAAAGAAGUUGAAGAAGUGGUGUUGAACUCGUUGAAUUAUGGCUGUCUUUGCUGCAUUGCUGCCACAGGGGAUUAGUUUCUACACAUUUGGAAACCAGCUUGGUUGGAGUCAGGGUCAGUUACUUUUUUGCUCACCAAAUGUUUGAUUAUUUUUUGGCCAUUUGUGCACUUGUUAGUUUGUGUUUCUUAGUUAUAUUUGACUUUUUGAAUCUGUCACCAUGCCUUAUAAUGACAGUUUAUGCAGCAUUAGUUGAAAUAUUUUGUUUUUAGUUUAUUUUUACAAGCAAUGUAUCAAAUAGUGUGAGCAGUUGAAGAUGUUUUUAAUCACUGUCUUGAGUAUAUAAAUAUGUAUUCUCUUAAUGCAAAGUGAUGUAUGAAGAGUUGAAGUUCUGGUAUUUUUUGGGUUUUGUUUUCCCUCUUUGUUUUUCCAGCAAACUUUGGUCUCUUCACGGAGAGUUUAGUAUGCAUAUCCUUAAGUUUUUUUUUUUAUCCAGCAGAAACCAAGGAUAACAUUUCAUUUAUCCCUGUCUGCCCAUAAUCAAUACCAAGGAUAACACUUGUUUUUCUCUGUCUGUCUGUCUGUCCCCAAAAAACCAAGGAUAAAACCUUAUUUCCUUGGUACAAACUCUUUCAAAAUUUACAACAGCAGAAACUAAGGUUUUUGCUUCUGCCUUCAGCUGCUUCUCCUUGGGUAGCCUUAAAAAAGUAAUGUGAGCUGCCACUAAAGCCAAGAGAACUUUUUUGGUCAUCAUAAAGAGCUAAAAUAGCUCACCAUAAUAAUUACGGGACUACCAAAUUUCCAACUUGGAUAGUAGAUUCUUCAUUACAGAAUUUAUUAUCCUUGAAUCUCAUGAAUUGUAAAAUUGCAGAUCAUACCUGCAAUUGGAAAAUUACCACUGUUGGAAUCUCUUUGCAUUGAAGGAAUGGAUGGAGGCUACCAAAGGUCUUGCUUUUGGUCAUGUUCCAUGCAGAUAUACAGAUUGCCAAUGCCCAAACAUGGUUUCUCUUUUAACGAAUAACCUGCUUCUAACUUGAAGAAGAUUUAGAAAUGAAGAUGGCAAGAAUUUACAAUGUUUGGUGGAUGAAGAAGAAGAUACUAGCACAACUUCACCUCUCUUAAGCCAGUUACGUUUGUUGGCUGUUCAGCUGACAUAUCUUUUCCAAAAGUGGAUUUCCCUACCAACCUAACAUCACUUGACAUCACAUCACCCAAUAUUUGGAGGUCACUACUUCAAUAGGGUUUGCAUAGACUCAGCUCUCUUCAAAAACUAUCCAUUAAUGGUGAAGAAUGUCCAGAUGUGGUGUUGUUUCCACAAGAGGCGAUAGGAAUGAUGCUGCCUCCCCCUAUAUGCGAUAUCAACGUAAGUGAUUUCAACAACCUGAAAUUUCUAUCCUCGAAUGGCUUUCAAAACCUCACGUCUUUUUAGUCUUUGGAGAUCAGUGAUUGCUCUAAGCCCACAUCUCUUCCAGAAAAAGACAUGCUUCUCUCACUUUGCCAUUUUCAGAUUGAUAAUUGUCCUUUGCUAGAAGAACGGUGCAAAAGGGAUAAAGGACAUACCUUAUGUUGAAAUCAGUAAUGAACGAAACUAUCCCAAAGAGGUUGAAAUCUAGAAAUUGAAAGUCAAAAGGUAUUAAACCAUUUGAAAGAUAGGCCAGAUAAUUGAAUUCUGAUUAUUUAUUCAUUUAAUUUUUGUUAGAUAUAUAAGAUAAUACUAAGUCUGAUAUGUUAUUGAUGAUAUAUAAUUAAUUUACAGCCACAUUGGAGGCUUGAAAGCUACAAAGUGCAGUUCGUAUAUAUAGCUCUAUUCAAAGAUCAGGUACAAGCUUCUCAUUUUCUUUUUCCAUUUCACUUGCACUUAAACAUAGCAUACUCAUCAAUCCACAACAUUUAACCAUUAAAACAGUUAUGCUCCUCUAACGUCAAGUAUCUGUAAACAACUCUUGGUGUGAAUUUGUUGAUUCAUCAUUUCAGCUUAUGAAACUGAUUAAAAAGUUCAAGGAUGAAGGUGAGUUGAUUUUUCUCUGCUUUUUUACGUCAUGUACAUUGAAGAAUUGAAAAGUGAUUGUUAGAGUAUAUACGCAGUUUCAUGGACAAAAUUGUGUUUUAAUUUUUGGUAAGUUAUAUAUUUGUUCAUACAGAAGCAUAUUUGUUUUGAUUUCAGGAAAUUGCCAUUUUGUUAAAGAAAAUUUAAUUCUCUCUCUCCUUUUCCAUAUUAUCAAUUUUCUUUGUACUUGAUUACUUUAACCCACACCAAUUAUGCUUUCCUUGAGUUUGUUGGAUAGUGAACUACUUUCUGUUCUUUUAGUAUUUUAAUGUUCAUGUAUUUAGUCCUUUGCUUUCUGAGUUUGUAGAGAAUGGAGAGGAAAGGAAAAAUUACAUCCAUAAAAUUCUAAUAUUUUGUUGGAUUUUCCAUUACAGAGGAGUGUCUCCCCACCAAUUGAAUGUUGCUUUGAAUCUCUGCUGCUAAAAUCUGUAUACCAUUAUUACAUUGGGGAGUGCACAUAUGAAUCUGUCGUGGACAACUUCCCAUUGGUGGUGUUAAUGAUGUAGCCGGCCACCUUCCAAACUUUCCUUGUCACCAAGAAGUUCCUAAAUUUGGAAUACCAGCACUGCAAGGGCUUUCAGAACAUCUCCUUGCUCAAAGGUUUGUAUACUUUAAUUGCCUUAAUCUAUAAAAAAGGAUAAAAGAUGAAGUGAUUAGAGAUAUCUCCUGUAUUCAUAACAUAUUACUUAUAAGCUCAAGAGGAACAGUGAAAACUAGUUGUUUUUCAUAGAAAAACAGCGAGAAAAGCAUAAUAUACCAUGCUUGUAAAUUCAAUCCUAGGUAUGGCAAUGGGAAAAUCCUCUCUCCUUUUCCUCUUUGAACAAUUAAUUAAAACUUCUAUGAUCACCAAGUGUUGAUUUACUCGUACAUACAGAAGUUUGAACAUGAUUAGGAAACAACAAGGAUGAAUUCAGCUCCAGUUCUAAUCUAUUGGCCAUAAAAUCAAUGCAAUGCAGAGGUGAGCUUUUAUAUAUUGGACUAUAUUAAGAUAAUAUGCCUCACCAAUAGAAACAAUCCCUCCUUCUAAAUGAUAUAUGCAUGUAUAGUUCUAUUUUUGUAUUGAAUUUCCUUUAGCAAUCACAUAAUAUUGUUUCCACACCACUGGAUAUUACUUAUUAGCCACAGAAGGGAAAAACGGCAAGAAUCAGAGAAACUACCAUACUUGUAGAUAUAUGGUAUGUCAAUUGGAAAAUCCUCCUGUUCUUUUUACACUUUGAUAAUAAUUAAUUAAAGUUUUUAUGCUAACCAAGUUUUAGUCUAGUGUGUACAUGCAGAAAUCUGAGCAUCCAUAGGAAGCAACAACGAUGAAAUUUAACCUCCAGUUGUAAUCUAUUGACUGUAUAAUCAAUUCAAAGCAGAGGUGAGAUUUUAUUAGACUACCUUAAGAUAAUAUCCCUCACCAAUGGACAGCCCUUAUGAUAAAUAACCUUUUGCAUAUCUAUUAGUUACUCAUCUUCAUUCUCAAUAGUGUGACCCUCAUUCACAAUAGGUUUAAGUAGAUGAACCCUGAUUGAAAGUACAUUGCAGUUCUCAAGUAAUGUGUAGAAUUAUUUUUUCACACCAGAACUGUUGUACAACUUGGCACACAGAGAUGCAAAGAGCUUAUGUAACAGCUUUCAUGGCUCUUUAUGCCAAGCUUUUUUUGCUUCUAAUAUUACAUAUUACCAUGCCCUGCAUGUUGCUUCUUCAGCCUUCAACACUAAUCUCUCUAUGUCAAUCCCAGUGAGUCUUCAAUCCCUCCAAAUGACCCAAAAAGUAUCACUAGAGGCAAAAAGUGUCACUAGCGGCAGCACCAAUGCUAACAUACAUCAUUGCAACAUGUCAUCACCUAAAGAGCAAUCAAUGUCAUUGACAGUCAAGAUUUUCUUUUCUAACACUAUGAAUCAGUUGGGUAAGAAUAACUUAUUAAAAAAUUUGCUCUUCAUUUAUCAUUUCUCUUUGCAAAGAAACUUCUUCAAAUUCAUCAGUAGUAUCAUCACUAAUAGAUUCACACUAAUCCCUUAACAAAUUUUCAUAGAUAGACUUUGUAAUGUGCCAUAAACUAGUUGAGCUUUCAGUUUUCUUUUUCUUUUUCAUGAUUAUGCUAUAUAAAGUUUGUAUACUAUGGUAUUGGACUUCAGAAGGAUUAAUUUUCUUGCGCUUUUGAAUUGAGAUUAUGAGAUGUAUAAUAGAUUCAAGCUAAAUGUUAAUCUCUUUUUCCUACUCUUCGUCCUUUCUCUUUUAUCUUCUUCUUUGGCAAAUAAAGAGAUCCAACAAAUUUCAAUACAGGAAAUAAACUGAAUUUUUAUGGCUAUCAUCUGAUGGAUGUUAAGCCAUAAUGCAUGAGCAGGCCUUAAAUCUUCUUGUUUCGCUGAUAGCGAUCUAACUUCUCUGUCACUUGGCUGUGGCAAUGCUUAAAACUUCUGCAGAUCAAAACACCUUUUUCCUUUUAUUGGAUAUGUAUAGUGCAUGCCUUCAUUUUGUAUAAUCAGUAAUGUUCUUUGGCUUUUCAGAAGGUGCUUGUCUGUGUCAUCCCUGUGCCAAAAAGGAGCGUUACAAUGGUAGACGGUAGUUUUGAUGCAAGAUGUUCUAAAAAUGUUUUACCUCUGUUGGUGCCUCAUCCUUAGUCCCACGUAAGUCUCAUGAAUGAUUGGGAAUAGCUAAGUUAUUUUAUUGUUUUUUGACUAGAAUGUCAACAUGAUGUCAUGGUCUUACCCCUGAGGCCACAUUGUUUGACCAGGUGCCACAACCAAAGAAGCUGAAUGUCAAGUUUCCUACUAGUGUUAGUGUCAAUUUUUUAUAUUAAUAGUUAUUCUGUUUUUUCUUCUUGGUAUUUUAUGUUCCUUCAUUAAUAUUGGGAAUUUGGACCUAUGCAUUCUUUCAACCUGAUAUUUUAUUGUAAAAGAAAUGCCAUGAGCAUGGAUAACGGAUGUGGGCAUGAUAACUUGUCAAGUCACCAUACAAAAUUCAUGAAAGCAUAGUGAUUUGCGACCAGGCUGCCAUUGUUGGGAUUUUUGUUAUUGUGGAUUAUGGUGAUUAUUAAAGUCAUAACUGUGGCAAUAUUUUUCUAACAGGCUACUCGUUAUCCAUCACUUUAUGAAGCAAUCGAUGGGUUGUGCAACAGUUACCGAGGCAAGAUUAAAGCAGAAUGGAUUGUUGUGACAAAUUAUUGAUCUGGCACUACCAUGGAGUUUUCUACAGCACUAAUUCAUGGGAAAUAAAAAGCUGAUGAAGUCUUUAGGCCACUUGUACCUACUUUCACUGCAUUAUUUUUCAUAUACAUUCUUUUAGGGGAAAUGAGAAUGGGGGUGAGAGUGGGGAUGCUAAUUGGUAUAUCAAUGAAGUUUAUCACUGUUUGCUAAAGGAUACUUUCUUGUAUUCAGGUGAUGUGUCCCAACCAGGUAAUGGGUAUGCAAUCAGGGAGCUAGUCUCUAGGAUCCAAACACAUAAAUUCAAUUUAGCCUCCUGGUGAGAUUUUGGCUUUGCUUUAUGAUUUUUACUUCAUCGUUUCAUAUAAUAGUUCACACAUAUUUGACUUAUUUCUAAGGCAUAUCUCCAAGUAUAUUUACUUGCAUCUAGUUGAUGUCAGCAGAAUUUUAGAACUCAUCUGAGUUUCAAAAAUGUAUUAGUUCUAACUGUGUCUGACCAUAUACAAUAAAUAAUGAGAUAGCAUAGUAGGGAAUUCUUGGAAAAGUGAAGUAUACUUUAGAUAUACUUAUUAUUAUUGUCAUCAAAUGUCUGAAAAUAUUUGAUUUUUUUGCUUUUUGUUUAUAGCUCCUGAGAAAGGGAAAUGAGUGCCAAUAGUAAAAUCACCACAUAUUUGCAGAACCUGAGGUCUCUCAAUUGGGAAGGUGGGCAACACCUGACUUCAGUUCCCUUUCUAUACAUAACUGUUAAUUAAAUUUUAAUUUUAAUACUUGAAAAUGCAGCAUGAUAAGAAGUUAUUGACCUUUCUUGGGAAGUAGAUUGAAAAUGUAGGGAUCAUUUGUAUGUUUUUUGCUGCUACUUUCCCUUUUUUUCUUAGGUUACUCAGGUCUCUCAUAUUUUCCUAUGUAAUGUAAUUGCAUAAGUUCAGGAAGAGUCAUGUCUAAAAUGUAACCACAAGAAUAUUUUAGUGAUGGCAGGUUCAGAUACUCAGGCAUGCCUCUUUCACCUAAGCACUGCUUGGGACCCUUGUGUCAAGAGGUUGAGGAGGAUUGCAAUCAUGUUCUAUAUUUAUGUCAAUUUUCUUGCAGUCCUGGUGCAAGUUACUUUCUCCGAUGAUGCUAUUUUGGUCUCAUCCCCUUUGCAUCAGAUUCCUGUUGCAAUGCGUUUGAGCCUUUUCUGGAUUACUCUGGUGGUUUACUUCCUAUUCUGCUGCUUCUCCAUGGCUAGUAAGAUAUGAGGCUGGCUUUAAUGAGAAACGGAGGUGGGUGGACGAGAUUAUUUUUCGUUGUAAGCUUUGUUCUCUGCAUUGGCGUAGAGCUUUGGCUGAUGGCAUCUUGUUCUCGGACUAGGAUUCUGUGGCUUGCUCCCCUUCCUUCCAGUAACAUCUCCGUGGACCUGCUGGCUGCGGUUGAGUGUUAAGAGAUUCCUCUGGCUCUAUUCUAGCUUUGUUUUCUGGCCAAAUUGGUGUGCUAGACCAAUGUUGUUGAAAUAUAAUACUAUAUUUGCUUUGGAAAUAUUCUCUAGGACAUAUUGGAAAGAGAAAAAGGUGCUGGUGGUUGAAUCAGAUUCAACCGUAGUUGUGCCUUGGGUGAAGAAGAUUGAGGAUUGCCCUGGGAAUUUGUGUGUUACCUUCAAUUAGAUUGAUCCACUUACUGCUGACAUUGGUGAAGCCUUCUUUGGUACCAUCUGUUGGGAAGUUAAUGGCCUUGCUGACUCUAUAGUGUGUAGAACUGGCAUGUUCAUGGCUUGGUGGUUCAGCAGGCUGUUAUUUUAUCUCCACCCUUUGGGCGCCAUUCUACCAGGCCUGUUAUUAGAGGUUUUAUGGUGUGCAUAUUUUUACGCCUUUGGGUGUUAUUUUAGUCCAGGGAGAUUGCUUGUUAUCUGUUCAUCAACCCAAUAUAUAAGAACCAACUCAAGCCGCCACAAGAAUAGUCAAGCAGUACAUCACAAGAGUCCAUAACUUUACCAGUAAGUUUUUAUAUUUUACACAUUGAUUGCAUGCUUCAUUCGUUAAGAACGAAAGAAACCAAAUGCUACCACAAGAAAGCACCUGGAGAAGCUUGUGUUUGGUUUGCUUGGGAUUAGCUGAUGGAUCCGAAUUAAAGUUAACAGAAAUAAUUUAGAAACUUUCUUCUUUCCCUUUGUAGAAACAUACAUUGGGAGAUGAAAUUGAAUCUAUAUAAGAAUAAAGCUAAUUAAGAGCCUAAGACAACCUUUCCACUCUGCAUCCCUCCUUCCCAACCCAACAACAAAUAGCAAAACUUGCAUGUUGUCAGCCAUAAGAUUAAAGCCUAGAAUUUUCUUCUUUUUUUUUUUGCUAAGCAAAAAUUUUCACUAUUGAAAAUUUAAAGUGUUAAUAAAUAUUAAAAUAUUGAUAAAAUUAUAUUUGAUUAAAUAUAAAUGAUAAUUAUGAACAAAAAUCUAUUAAUUACUCACUUGACUUUACAAAAAAUAAAUACCAAUAAACUCGUUGUUCAUUACUUCUAUACCAUAUGUGAAUAGUCGUCAAAUAGUUGAAUUAAGAUAAAGUAGCAUUAUUCGUUAAAAUUUUUCUCCAUCUCUCUCAUUUUUAUCUCUCUUCAUUUAACUUUUAUGUAUUUAUAUUAAUUUUUUUUAUUUUUAUAUAAAAUCGAGGUUCCAUGGUUUUUAAAACAAAAAGUUAAAAAAAAUCAUGAAAAAUUAUUUUGAAUAUAAAAAAGCAAUAGUAUUAGCUGUUAAAAAAAAAAAGAACAUAAUAUUAAAAUAUUCACAAAAAUAUAAUCCAAUGAAAGGAGACAAAAAGAGUAUGGUAGUCAUAGAUAUCCCUUGUACUCAUCAUCAUCUACAUUAAACAAUUGUACCUUUUAGAAGAAGGUUUUGAUGGUUUAAGAAGUUGAAAAGAGGAGUGAAUAAAAUAGUAUACAAAGAAAUUAAAAAAUUGUCUUAUGUUUGAUUAGAGUCUGUUUAUUGAAAUUAAUAAAUUAUUAUAAUAAUUAAAUAAAUAUGUUAUAUAUAAAAUAAUAAUUUGCCUAAAAAAAAAAAAGAGGACCAACUACUAAAUCAAGUAACAUUUUGUUUUUGUGGUAGUAUUUUGAAGCACAAAAUUGAAGAGGACCAAUAAUUAAAUAAACUUUGAUUGAUUUAUCUGAUAAUAAUGAAAUCUGUGAAUGCAAAAGGCUGAAAUUAAGUAAGGAAAUGCUUCAUUUGAAGGAGAGAGUAAGGAACGCAAAAAGCAAGUAAAACCCAACUCAAUUAUUAAGCUACCCUCACGUACUUCUUUAAGUUUCACACAGCAAAAAUACAUCUCUUUUCCACAUACGCACUUCAAUCUCCAAUCUCCAUUUUUCAUUUCUCUCUUUCUUUCUUGAGCGAAAGGGGAGACUGCUCUCACAGCUUUCUUUGAUGGGCUGUUUGGCAAAUUAUCCUCUCCUGAUUUCCUCAACUUUGUCACCGGAAAGCAGGAGUGCUUUUUAAAUAAUAUCAUGCAUAAUUUUGUUGAUUGUAUAAUUUCAUAUCGGGUUAGAAAAUUUACAAUUUGAAUUAAAUAAGAAUUCGUAAUCGACACAUUGUGUCCAGUACUUUUAUGUGCUUGUUUAUAGAUUACAACUAGGUAGUCAAAUCAUUAAAAUUAACAUUUAUUAAAUGAAGAUAAAAAAAAUAAAUAAGGAUCAUUCAGCCUAACGGAUAUACCUGUUUCAGCUGAGCAUUUCAUGCAUGAAUACUUUUCAUUUUUUAAUGAAAGUAGUAAUACAAUAUUUACAUUGCUCUACAAUUGUUACAUAAAUAAACCAAUAUUUUCAUUGGCAGAAAUAUUACAUUUGGUUAUUUUUCUACAUUUCUAUUUCUUAAUUCUUUUCUUGGAUUAUUAUUCAUUGCAUAGGCAGUAUAUAUAUAUAUAUAUAUUUAAAAUGAAAAUAAUGAACUAUUUAAUUAUUAAAUAAAUAUGUAAAAAUUUUAAACUCACUUGUAGAAUUUAAAAAAAAUUCACUAUCACUUUACAAAAUGAUAAUCUAUUUUUUCAUAAAACCAAACAAACUCAUCACUUUAAUUUUUUCAUUCUCUUUUUUUUUUUUUGCUAUAUUGUUAUACUUGUAGGUUUACUCACAUUUUUCAAGUACUUAAAUUUAUUUAUCAUAUGAAUAAUUUUAAAACAUUUUUUAUUAGAAAAUAAAUAUAGCUAGGGUUUGGGAAAGUAAGAGGCAAGCAGCAUGGUUUAGGAAAGAUAGCAACCAAAAGAAAUAUUAUCGGGUUUAGGGUAUCCUAUGGGUGAUACUCGAAAUCUACUCAAACCCGAAUUGAGUAUUAAAAACCUUAUUCAAAGUUGCUUUAUUACCGAAUAGAGGGUAUCCAAAUCUUUUGUUAUCAAGUCAGAUACUUAUGGAUACUAUAUAAUAGUUACCUGCUACAUCCCUAAGUUAGACUUCACAGUUGCUUUAGGAAACUAUUUGUUGUAUGUGCUUGUACCAAAAGGAAUAAACAAGCUAUUUUACUAUAAAUAACAGUAGGACCACCAUAGCAAAAUAGAAAAUUAAAAAAAAGGAGAAUUGCAAGUAAAUAAAAAAAUUUCCACACACUAACUUUAAAGUUUUAAAAUUAUAUAAACAAAUUAAAAAAUUUUCUUAUGUUUGACUAGAGUAUGUUUAUUGAAAUUAAUAGAUUCUUAUAAUAAUGAAAUAAAAUAUGUGAUAUAUAAAAUGAAAAUUUGCAAAAAAAAGAGGACCUACGAUUAAAUCAAAAUUUGAACCAAAAUGAACCCACCACCACUAGCUUUGGUUAGUGCCCGGUUGACCUUUAUUUUCCGCCACAGUGUAAAUUUUUGGGAAAAAGGCUUACCUUUCGGGUUCUUUUUGGUAACAAGAAGCCUUAACUUUCUUUCCCUUUUGUCUUCUAUUAAUCUAAUUAGAAUCUUUUUUAUUGUACCAAAAAUUCUUCUUUUCACCUUUCCUUUUGCUUUCUCCAAGACCGUGUGGGUUCCAUCCACAAAGAAGAAUUAAUUAACCAAGUACAGAAAGAUAAAAAAGAAAGAAUUUAAAGAGUUAAAUUGAAGAGGACCAAUAAUUAAAUAAAGUUUGAUUGAUUUCUUUGAUAAUAAUGAAAUCUGUUAAUGCCAAAAGGUUGAAAUUAAGUAAGGAAAUGCUUCAUUUGAAGGAGAGAGUAAGGAAAGAAGAAGCAAGGAAAGCCCUGGAAAGAUGUAACAAAAUUAAGAGAGCAAUGAAUGAAGGGAUUAAUGAAUACUUAAAUACUCACCUAAUGAUUUGUGAAUUUGUCUAAUAAAUUUUUAAUUGUUUCCAAAAGGACAGGAAUAGUUGUGGUCAAAUUAUUGGAACACGUAGCCUUGCUCUUUCUUCAACUUGGUUUUGCCUUUAUUCACGGGAGAAACAAAUCCAUUUCGCCCAUGCAUGCAGAACAAGAAUAUGAUUCAAAACACUAACAUGGCUAUACUGACCCACACUACCCGAAAUGGUCCAAUUCCCCAAAAGAAGAAGAAUCUUUUAGAGUUCGAUGACUGCUUUAUUGAAAGUGGGAAUUUGCUUUCGGUGACUCACGGCCAGUUUCUUCCUUGUCUUUUUCCAUCGGUACCGCUGGCUCCAACAAACCACAUGGGGUCAUUCUUCGAAAGAGAAGUCGACGACUCCAAGUCAAUACCCACCUCAAUAAGCUGUUUGGUAAAAAGAACAAGAAUCUUGUAAAGCUCGAUUACUGCUUGAUUGAAAGUAGAAUUUGCUUUGGGUGACUCAUUGCUAGUUUUUUCCUUGUCUUUUUCCAUCACUACCAGUGGCCUCUAAGAAACUACAUGGGGUCUUUCUUCGAAUGAGAAUUCGACGACUCCAAGUCAAUACCUUACUCAAUUGUUAAGCUACCCUCACAAACUCCUUUAACUUUCACACAGCAAAAUACAUCUCUUUUCCACAUACGCACUUCAAUCUCCAUUUUUGAUUUCUCUCUUUCUUUCCUGAGCAAAACAAUCAUGUCUGUUGUUGGGGAGGCCGCUCUCACAGCUUUCUUUGAUGGGUUGUUUGGCAAGUUAUCCUCUUCUGAUUUCCUCAACUUUGUCACUGAAAAGCAGAUCCGCAAGGAGCUCAACGAGUGGGAAAAGAUGCUGCGGGAUAUCCGUGCCGUGCUUGAUGAUGCAGAGGGGAAGCAGAUGAAGGAUCAGUAUGUGAAGAACUGGUUGGCCGAUCUUCAAGACUUGGCUUACGAUGUCGAUGACAUUUUGGACGAGUUUGCCACUGAAGCUUUGAGGCGCAAGCUGACAUCCUUUGAGGAAGGCAUCAAAAAUAAGGUACAAAAGAUCAUUCCUACUCGUUUCUCUCCAAAAACUUUCAUGUUUAAUAAGAAGAUGGUGUCCAAGAUUAAAGAGAUCAGUGCUAGAAUAAAUGAUUUGGCCACAAAAAGAACUCAAUUGGAAUUGCGAGGCAUUAAUGAGGGAUCAAGGUCCGAUAGAAUGAUACAAAGGCUUCAGCCUACUUCUUUGGUGGAUGAAACUCAGGUGUACGGUAGGCAAGAAGAAAAGGCAGCAUUACUUGAAUUGCUUUUGAGCAAUGAUGGCACUGACAAUGAAGCUUCUGUGAUUCCCAUCAUUGGCAUGGGAGGAAUUGGCAAGACAACUCUUGCACAACUUCUCUACAAUGAUACUCGUAUAGAGAAUUCUUUCGAGUACAAGGCAUGGGUAUGCGUUUCUGAAGAUUUUGAUGCCGUUGGCAUAACAAAGAGAAUUCUACGGUCAAUCACUCCUGGUUGUUGUACCGAUGACAAUGAUCUCAAUUUACUUCAAGUCGAGUUGAAGAAGAUGCUGGCCGGGAAAAAGCUUUUGCUUGUCCUGGAUGACAUCUGGAACGAUAAUUAUCUGGAGCUGACCAACCUACUCUCUCCAUUUGGAGUUGGAACCAAAAUUCUCGUCACAACACGGAGUCACGAUGUUUCUUCUAUUAUGGGCACUGUUGAAGCUUACCCACUACAACAGUUAUCAGAGGAGGAUUGUCUAUCUGUAUUUUCUCAGCAUGCAUUAAGAGCAAAUGAUUUUAGUGGGCAUCCUGAAUUAAAAGAAGUUGGGGAAAUUAUAGUGAAAAAGUGCAACGGCUUACCUUUGGCAGCUAAAGCCAUCGGUGGUUUACUACGCACUAGACUGGACUAUGAGGCAUGGAAAGGUAUAUCAGAAAGCGAGAUAUGGGGCAUACCAGAAGAGAAAUGUAGCAUAAUUCCUGCUUUACGAUUGAGCUAUCAUCAUCUUCCUUCACAUUUGAAACGAUGCUUCGGAUAUUGCUCUAUACUCCAUAAGGAUUAUGAAUUCGGGGAGGAGGAGAUAAUCUUGUUAUGGAAAGCAGAAGGUUUUCUACAACCAGCAAGCCCUGGAACUCAACUCGAAGUUCUAGGUAGUCAAUAUUUUCGAGAUCUAGUAUCAAGGUCAUUUUUUCAAACAUCUACUAGGAACAAGUCUCGAUUUGUAAUGCAUGAUCUUGUCAAUGAUCUGGCUCAAGCGGUUGCAAGGGAAAUAUGCUCCAAAUUGGAGAAUGAUAAACAGUUGAGAUUUUCGGAAGGUACUCGACAUUCAUCUUAUGUUUGUGGUGAGUUUGAUGGAAUGAAAAAGUUUGAAGCCUUCAAUCGAACAAAGCAUUUACGAACCUUUCUACCGUUGUCUGGAUCGUCGUGGGCAUGCGAAGGUAAUUGUUAUCUAAGUAACAAUGUUCUCGUUGAUUUGCUGCCCAAACUUCGAUGCUUAAGAGUUCUUUCUUUGAAAGGGUAUCACAUCAUUGAGUUACCAAACUUUUUUCAAAACUUAAUACAUUUGCGCUACUUGGACUUUUCUCAUACUAGAAUUACAAGCUUGCCUGAUUCAACCUGCACCCUUUAUAAUUUAGAAACUUUACUAUUAUAUGGGUGUAGAUUGCUUCAAAAUCUACCCUCAAAUUUACAAAUUCUAGUCAAUUUGCAUGUUCUCGACAUCACUGAUACGUCUUCAAUGAAAGGGAUGCCGUUUGGAAUUGGUAACUUAACCAAUCUUCAAAGAUUAUCUGAUUUUGUUUUAGGCAAAGGUGAUGGAUAUCAUAUACAAGAGAUGAAGAAUUUGUUAAAUCUCAAAGGUAAGCUUUGUAUCUCAGGGUUAGAGAACAUUGUUAAUGCUCAAGAUGCAUGGGAGGCUAAGUUAAUAUAUAAGUCAGGCCUUGGCGCAUUAGAACUAAAGUGGAGCAGAGAAUUUGAUAAUAAUAGAAAUAAAGAAGUUGAAGAAGAGGUGUUGAAUUUGCUUGAACCUCAUAAAAAGCUUGAAGAGCUCUUCAUCCAGGAUUAUGGUGGUACAAAAUUUCCGAUUUGGAUGAAUUUUUCAUUACAAAAUUUGUCGUCUUUGGUUCUCAAGGGUUGUAAAAAUUGUGUAUCACUGCCAUCACUUGGAAAAUUACCGUUACUGAAGAAGCUUUCUAUUGUUGGAAUGGAUGAGUUAAAUAAGGUUGGCAUUGAGUUCUAUGGGGAGAAUCAAUCAAACGCAUUUGCUUCGUUACAGAGUUUGAGCUUUGAGCAUAUGCCAAGAUGGAAGGAAUGGGACUUGGUUGAUGAGCAAGGUGUGAAAUUCCCUAGCCUCGUCGAGCUUUGCAUCAGUGACUGCCCUCAAUUGUUGGGAACGUUGCCUAACCGUCUUCAUUCCUUAAAGAAGCUCGCAAUAAGGUUCUGUAGACAAUUGGUAGUUUCACUUUCAAACCUUCCAAAGCUGUCUAAAUUGCAAAUAUGUGAGUGUGCGGAGUUGGUGCUGAGAGAUGAUGCAGACUUUCUCUCAAUAAAAGAAGUCCGUCUUUCAAACAUUGGAAAGUUUUCUACUCCAACGGAAAGGCUGGUAUCAACAUCAACAACAUUGAAGCAUUGUGAUCUUCCUGAUUGUGAGGGAUUGACAUAUUUAUCGCUAAAGAUGUUGGGACUGUUGGGAUCUGUCCGUAAAUUGGAAAUUUUUGAAUGUCCACAACUUGUGUUGUUAGAGCCAGAUGAGGUAGAGGAGGCAGAAGAGGAGCUGUUUCAAGUUGGGAAUCUUUGCAAUAUUGAAUCUUUGAGAAUAUGGGAAGCUGGUGUCCAGAUGGACUCUUUGAGAAUAAGAAAGCAUUUUCUCCCAUUUCUUACAGAGAUGGAAAUUGAAGAUUGCCCAAACAUAGUUUGUUUUGCAAAGAACAACUUACCCCCGCUUUUGAAAAAGUUGGAGAUUGCAAAUUGCAAGAAUUUGCGAUGUUUGGUGGAUGAAGGAGAAAAUAUAAGCAUCACUAACAUAUCUCUUCUUGAGCAUUUGAAUAUUAUUCGCUGUCCAUCUCUAAUAUCAUUAUCAUUACCUGUUAAGCUUCGACGUCUUUAUCUUCGGGGUUGCUUAAAGCUAGCUUCCUUAUCAGAAAGUGGCAAGUUACCCAUAGGGCUUAAAGGGCUUUACCUUUCUUUCUGCCCAGAGCUCGAAUCCAUUGCAGAAGUAAUUGACGAAAAUGCUUGUCUUGAAUCUAUUAGCUUCUGCAAUUGUGGUAUUAAAUCUUUACCGCAAGGAUUAGACAAGCUCAACCAUCUUCGGAGUAUUGAAAUAAAUAGAUGUUCAAAUCUAGUCUCGUUGGAAGGGUUUUUGCCCACCACCAAUUUGACUAACCUUUGGAUCUCUGAAUGUGAAAAUUUGCGAGCCCUGCCCAAUUGCAUGCCCAACCUCACGUCUCUUCGAGAAUUGACGGUUUGGAAUAAGUCAGGUGAUCAGAUAUCCAUUCCAGAAGAGGGUAUCUCUGCCAACCUCACAUCACUUAAAAUCUCAGUACCAAGAAAUUAUGAGUCUCUAAUUAAGUGGGGAUUGCAUAGACUCACCUCUCUUAAAACACUUGAUAUUUCUGGGAGAGGAUGUCCGAAUAUGGUGGCGUUCCCACCAGAGGAGAUAGGAAUGAUGCUGCCUCCCGCUCUCAUGAAAUUGAGCAUUAAAAAUUUCAAAAAUUUGAAAUGCCUAUCCUCCAAAGGCUUUCGAAACCUAACCUCUCUUCAUCAUUUGUCCAUCUCCUCUUGCCCUAAGCUCACAUUUCUUCCUGAAAAAGACAUGCUUCUCUCACUUUUGAAGUUAUGCAUUGGAGAUUGUCCAUUGCUAGAGGAAAAGUGCAAAAGGGGCAAAGGACGAGAGUGGUCCAAGAUAGCCCACUUACCUUGCAUUAAAAUUGAUGUGUGAUAGUAAAGCGAAAGUCACAGGUAUGAAACCAUUUGAAACCUACGAUAAUUUAGAAGCUUCUUAUUUUUAACAACAAAAUGAAACUAAUUAUACCUUUUUUUGUCAAUGAUUAUUUGCAGGCAGUUUAAAAGCUUUAGAAGGAAACUUGGUGGGAAACUAGGCUUCCCACCUUUUCAUCUAAAUGGCAGAAUCAGUGUGUAAUUAAUUGUUGGUUAGUAGACUCAAGCACAUACAACUCCAACAGUCUACAGGACCCAACUGCUUUUUCUUCAACUUCAUCAUUGAUUUCGUUUUUUUUUUUCAGACAUAUGAAAAUGCUGCAGAGGCUGACGAAUGGAGCGGUUAGUUAAUUCUCUGCAACCUUCAUCUACAUUUUUAGGGUUUGAUAACGAUUUGAUAUUCUAAUAAAAUACUAUUGAGUUUUCUUCAUUUCUAUUAUGAUGAAUUUGCUGUAUUUUUUACAAUUUCAAACUAUGCCAAUUAUACUUUACUUGCCUAUACCUAGAGUACAUCCUUCACUUUAUUCUUUUAAUUUCACAUCAUUCUCAUUUGAUCUUUGUGUAACAAUUUCUCAUACUCCAAUCUAUCUUACUUUUCUUAAUUUUUUGGAGGAACUGCUUUAUAAAGAAAAGAACUGAAAACAGAGGAAAGGAAUGUAAGAUUGGAUAUAUGUAGGUUAGAUGCUGCAUUUAAUUCGGUAACAAACUUUAAUUUUCUGCAUGUCUUAUGCUUGUGUGAAUAACAUAUUACUAAUUAUCUGGACAGAAAAGGAAAUAGGUAUUAGAUCUCACAAGGAAACUUGGAAAAAAUUCAGUGAAUAGAUAUACAACGUCCUAUUCAAAUAGUUGAUUAAAUUUUGAAUGAUAAUGAAGUGUUCAUUAAUUGUACAGGCAGAAACCUGAACAAGAAUCUGAAUAAGGGAAGAAUGAAUUCUGGCCUUCAAAGGUAAUUUGUUGACCUAAUAAUCAAUACAAUUAAACGGUGGCAUGCCAUUAGGCAACAAUGAGACAAUCCUUCCUAAGCAAACCAUUUUAUGUAUCACUUUUAAAAGUUUGAGUUGGAACUCUCUCUAACCUUCAUUCUCAACUUCCAGAUAAUCUAGGCACUUAGGGAUGCGUUUGAUGUGCACUUAAAAAGAAGGAUAGGAUUGCAAAUAGAAAUUUUAGAACUGGUGAAGUGGUCAUUGUUGCAUGCCAGUGAAAAACAAAACUUUACCUGACUUCUUAUGCACCCUUUGCAAUUUAGACACCUUGCUAUUAAAGCAAUGUCACGAGUUAGAAAAGUCAACCUGAAAAAUAGAAAUUCUAGUCAAAUUGCAUCAUCUUGACAUUAGUCAUACAAAUUCAGUGAAAGCAAUGCCCUUUGGAAUUGGUAGACUAACCAAUCUUUAAAAACUGUCUUAUUUUGUUUUGGGUGAAGGUGGUGGAUAUCAGAUAUGAGAGAUGAAGAAUUUGCGGAAUCUCAAGGGUGAGAUUUCUAUUUUAGGGUUGCAGAGCAUUGUUAAAGCUCAAGAUGCAUGAGAAGCUAAAUUGAUUGAUACUUGGGCCUCAAUGAGUUAGAAGUGGAUUGCAACUUUUGACAACAAUGCAAGAAAUAGAGAAGUUGAAGAAGUGGUGUUGAACUCGUUGAAUUAUGGCUGUCUUUGCUGCAUUGCUGCCACAGGGGAUUAGUUUCUACACAUUUGGAAACCAGCUUGGUUGGAUUUAGGGUCAGUUUACUUUUUGCUCACCAAAUGUUUGAUUAUUUCUUUGGUCAUUUGUACACUUGCCAGUUUGUGUUUCUUAGUUAUAUUUGACUUUUGGAAUCUGUCACCAUGCCUUCUAAUGACAGUUUGUGCAGCAUUAGUUGAAAUAUUUUAUGUUUAGUCUAUUUUUAGAAGCAAUGUAUCAGAUAGUGUGAUCAGUUGAAGAUAUUUUUGUUCACUCUCUUGAUUAUAUAAAUAUGUAUUCUCCUAAUGAAAAGUGAUGUAUGAAGAGUUGAAGUUCUGGCCUUUUUUGAGUUUUGUUUUUCCUCUUUGUUUUUCCAGCAAACUUUGGUCUCUUCAUCGAGAGUUUAGUAUGCAGAUCUUUAAGUUUUUUUUAUCCAGCAGAAACCAAGGAUAACAUUUCUUUUAUCUGUAUCUGCCCAUACUCAAUACCAAGGAUAACACUUGUUUUUCUCUGUCUGUCUGUCCGCACAAAACCAAGAAUAACACCUUAUUUCCUUGGUACAAACUCUUUCAAAUUUACAACAGCAGAAACAAAAGGUUUUUGCUUCUGCCUUCAGCUGCUACUCCUUGGGUAGCCUUGGACAAGUAAUGUGAGUAGCCACUAAAGCCAAGAGAACUGUUAGAAAAGUGAUCUUUAUUUGGUUGAUGAAAAGCUGAGUUGGUUGUUGAGGAGGAGAAAACCAGAUGGCGGGUUGCAACGGUAACUUGAAGUUCUGAAGUAGCUGUUGGCGUCAAAACGCAGUAAGCAGGAGUUGUUUUUUACUUUACUGAAUUUUUUGUUAAUGAAACGUUGCAGGAGUGUGUCGUUUUACUUAGUCUUCUGUUAUGCCGUUACUCAUACGAUGUCGUUUAGUAUUUCUUGUAAGGCUUUAAGCCAAGUUUGGUUCAGUUUGUUUUUCUGUUGCUUGGCACUGGUUUUCAUGGUGAAUGCUGAGCCAAGUUUUAGGCUCAAUUCAUUUGUUUGAAAAUCGUUGCUACAUUUUAGGAUCCAGAAAGUUUGAAUUUUAAAAUUCCUCAUAUAAAUACUGAAAAAUGUAUUGAGCGGGUGGUUAAAUUCCAGAAUAUUUUUCUACUCUGUUCGGAAAAGCUUAUUCUUCUCUUUUCUCUGCUGUUUCUUCCUUAAUUCUCUGGAAUUCCUAAACACUUAGUAAUUCUAGCAAGAACUUUCUUGGUCGUCAUAAAGAGCUAAAAGAAGCUCACCAUAAAAAAUUAUGGGACUACCAAAUUUCCAGCUUGGAUAGUAAAUUCUUCAUUACAAAAUUUAUUGUCCUUGAAUCUCAUGAAUUGUAAAAUUGCAGAUCAUACCGGCAAUUAGAAAAUGAUCACUGUUGGAAUCUCUUUGCAUUGAAGGAAUGGUUAGGGUGAAUAACAUUUGUGAAGCAAUUGGGAUCGCUUGGGAGCCUAAUGUCUGUCCCUUGGCUGAGAAUUUUGCAUUGUUCACAACUUGUACUUGUAUCAUUAGAGCCAGAGGAAGCAGAAGAGGAGUAUUUGCAACUCGACAGGCUUUGCAAGUUUGAAUGCCUAACAAUUACGAAAUGUGAAUGACUUCAAAGGCUACCAAAGGUCUCGCAUUUGGUCAUGUUCCUUGCAGAUAUACAGAUUGCCAGUGCCCAAGAAUGGUUUCUGUUUUAACGAAUGACCUACCUCCGACUUGAAGAAGAUUGACGAUUGAAGAUUGCAAGAAUUUACCAUGUUUGGUGGAUGAAGAAGAAGAUACUAGCAGAACUUCACCUCUCUCAAGGCAUUGACGUUGGUUGGCUGUUCAGCUGACAUAUCCUUUCUAGAAUAGGUUUUCCCUACCAACUUAGCAUCACUUGACAUCACAGCACCUGCAUAGACUCAGCUUUCUAAAAAACUGUCUAUUAAUGGUGAAGAAUGUCUAGAAGUGGUUUUGUUUCCACAAUAGGAGAUAGGAAUGAUACUGCCUCCCCCUCUCAGCGAUAUCACCAUAAUUUUGAAAACCUGAAAUAUCUAUUCUCCAAGGGCUUUCAAAGCCUCCCCAUCUGGUAGUCUUCAGAGAUCAGUGAUUUCUCUAAGCUCACAUCUCUUCCAUUAAGAGACAUGCUUCUCUUGCUUGGUCAUCUUCAGAUUGAUGAUUGUCCUUUGCUAGAAGAACGAUGCAAAAGGGAUAAAGGACAUAUCUUAUGUUCAAAUCAAUAAUGAACAAAAUUAUCCCAAAGAAGUUGAAAUCUCGAAAUUGAAAGCAAAAGGUAUUAAACCAUUUCAAAGAUAGGCCAGAUAAUUGAAUUCUGAUUAUCGUUCAUUUAAUUUUUGUUAGAUAUAUAACAUAAUAGUCAUUUUGAUAUGUUAUUGUUGAUAAUUAAUUUACAGCCACAUUUCAGGAUUGAAAGCUACAAAGUGUAGUUGGUAUAUAUAGCUCCAUUCAAAGAUCAGGUACAAGCUUCUCAUUUUUUUCCUAUUUCACUUGCAAUUAAACAUAGCAUGCUCAUCAAUCUGCAACAUUUAACCAUUAAAACACUUAUGCUUCUCUAACUUCAGAUAUCUCAAAAAACCUCUUGCCGUGAAUUUGCUGAUUCGUCAUUUAGACUUAUGAAACUGUUAAAAAGAUCAAGGAUGAAGGUGAGUUGAUUUUCCGCUGCUUUUAUAUGUCAUGUACAUUCCCAUUAAAAGAAAUGUCAUGUACAUUAAAGAAUGGAAAAGUGAUUGUUAGAGUACAUAAGCAGUUUCAUGGACAAAAUUGGGUUUUAAUUUGGUAAAUUACAUAUAUACUUGCCUUGUGAAAUUGUUAGUUGUUUAUACAGAAGCAUAUUUGUUUUGAUUUCAAGAGAUUUCCAUUUUGUUAAAGAAAAUCCAAGUCUCUCUUUCCUUUUCUAUGUUAUCAACUUUCUUUAUACCAUGCCAAUUAUGCUUCCCUUGAGUAUGUUGAACAGUGAACUAAUUUCUUUUCUUUUAGUAUUAUAAUGUUCUUGUAUUUAGUUUUUUGCUUUCUGAGUUCGUAGAGACAAUGUAGAGGAAGCAAAUAAAUUUCAUCCAUAAAAUUCUAAUGUUGUAUUGGAUUUUCCAUCUUAGAGGAGUGUGUCCCCACCAACUGAAUGUUACUUUGGAUCUCUGCUGCUAAAAUCUGUAUACCAUUAUUACAUCGGGGAGUGCGUAUACAAAUCUGUCAUGGACAACUUCCCAUUGGUGGUACUGAUGCAGCCGACCAACUUUCAAACUUUCCUUGUCAUCGGGAAGUUCCCAAUUUGGAAUAGUAGCACUACAAGAGCUUUCAGAACCUCUCCUUGCUCAAAGGUUUUUAUGCUUAAUUGCCUUGAUCUAUAAAAAAAAAGGGAUAAAAAAUGAAGUGGGUAAAGAUAUCUCCUGUGCCUCAUGUAUUAAUAACAGAUUACUUAUUAGUUAGAACAGGAACAGUGAAAACUAGUUGUUUUUCAUAGAAAAGGAGCGAAAAAGGCAGAACAAAUAUUGCUCGUAAAUUCAAUCCUUGUUAUGUCAAUGAGAAAAUCUUUUCUCCUUUUCCUCUUUGAACAAUUAAUUAAAACUUGUAUGAUCACCAAGUGUUGAUUUUCUUGUACAUACAGAAGUCUGAACAUGAUUAGGAAACACUGAGGAUGAAUUCAGCAUCCAGUUGUAAUCUAUUGGCCAUAAAAUCAAUGCAAUGCAGAGGUGAGCUUUUAUAUAUUGGACUACAUUAAGAUAAUAUGCCUCACCAAUGGAAACAAUCCCUCCUUCUAAAUGAUCUAUGCCUGUAUAAUUCUAUUUUUGUAUUCAAUUUCCAUUAGCAGUCACAUAUUAAUGUUUCCACACCCGCUGAAUAUUACUUAUUAGCCACAGAAGGGAAAAAGGGUGAAAAUUAUAGAAACUACCAUGCUUGUAGAUAUAUGGUAUGUCAAUUGGAAAAUCCUCCCUUUCUUUUUGCACUGUGAUCAUAGUUAAUUAAAGUUUAUAUAUUAACCAAGUAUUAGUCUAGUUGUACAUGCAGAAAUCUGAGCAUUAGUAGAAAGAACCAAUGAUGAAAUUUAACCUCCAGUUGUAAUCUAUUGACUAUAUAAUCAAUUCAAAGCAAAGGUGAGCUUUUAUUAGGCUACCUUAAGAUAAUAUGCCUCACCAAUGGAACAUCCCUUAUGCUAAAUAAUCUUAUGCAUAUCAAUUCCAAAGUUUCAGGUUGGAGCUAUUAGUUACUCAUCUUCAUUCUCAAAACUGUGACCCUCAUUCACAAUAGGUUUAAGCAGAUGAUCCCUGAUUGAAACUAAAUCGCAUUUCUCAAGUAUUGUGUAGAAUUAUUUUUUCACACCAGAACUGUUUUACAACUUGGCACACAGAGAUGCAAAGAGCUCAUGUAACAGCUUCCAUGGCUCUUCAUGCCCCACUUUUUCUGCUUCUAAUAUUAAACAUUUACCAUACCCUGCAUGUUGGUUCUUCAGCCUUCAGCACUCAUCUCUCUUUGUCAAUCCCAGUGAAUCUUCAAUGCCUCCACAUGAAGCAAAAUGUGUCACUAGUGGCAGCACCCGGUAACAUACAUCGUUGCAACAUGUCACCACCAAAAGAGCGAUUGAUGUCAUUGACAGUCAAGGUUUUCUUUUCUAAUACUAUGAAUCAGUUGGGUAAGAGUAAGUUUUUAGAAAAUUUGCUUCAUUUAUCAUUUCUCUUUGCAAAAAAACUUGUUAAAAUUCAUCAGUAGUAUCAUGACUAAUAGAUUCACACCGAUCCUGUAAUAAAUUUCAUAGAUAGACUUUGUAAUGUGCCAUACACUAGUUGAGCUUUCAGUUUUCUUUUUUCUUUUUCAUUAUUAUGCUCUUUAAAGUUUGUAUACUAUUGCAUUGGACCUUCAGAAAGGAUUAAUUUUCUUGUGCUUUUGAAUUGAGAUUAUGAGAUGUAUAAUAGAUUCAAGCUAAAUGUUAAUCUCUUUUUCCUACUCUUCCUCCUUUCUCCGUGUCCUCUUCUUUGGCAAAUAAAGAGAUCCACCAGAGUUCAAUACAAGAAAGGAACUGAAAAUUUUUAUGGCUUUCCUCUGAUGAUGUUAAGCCAUAAGCUUCCACCCAUUGCAGCAUGAGCAGGCCUUAAAUCUUCUUUUCUUGCUGAUAGCAAUCUAACUUCUCUGUUACUUGACUGUGGCCAUGCUUAAAAUUUCUGCAGAUGAAAACACAUUUUUUCCUUUUGUUGGAUAUGUGCAGUGCAUGCCUUCAUUUUUUCAGAAGGUGUUUGUCUUUGUUAUCAAUUGGGCCAAAAAGGAGUGUUACAAUGGUAGACGAUAGUUUUUACACAAGAGUUCUACCAAUGUUUUUCUCUGUUGGUGCCUCAUCCUUAGUUCCUUGUAAGUCUCACGAAUGGCUGGGAAUAGGUAUGUUGUUUUAUUGUUUUUUGACUAAAAUUGCAACUCGAUGUCAUAGCCUUGCCCCUGAGAUAGAAUGUUACACAAGGGUUCCACAUUCUGAAGCCAUCCUUUUGUGAAACUUCAUGCGCAGCAUCAACGGUGCAUAAAAGAUAUUAAAAAAUAUAAAUAGGGUCACAAACUCCGACAUUUUGAAGCCCUUUUUCUUCUAGUGCAUGCCAGAACCAAAGAAGCUGAAGAUCAAGUUUCCUACUAGUUUAGUGUCAAUUUUUUAUGUUAAUAGUUAUUCUGUUUUUUCUUCUUGGUAUUUUGCAUACAUUCAUUAUUAUUGACAAUUUAUUAUUGGGAAUUACUCAUGUGUGUUCUGGCUGUUUUCAUAAUAGCUCCAGCUUCCAAAAUGUGAAAUUGAAAAGCAAACUGCUUCAAAUUGUUCGUAUUUGCAGUUUUGUAAAACUUCUUUUUUCUUUUAAUUCCUUUUGUGCUUCAGCAUUUAUAGGUUCUUUUGGCUGUUUUGAAUGGGACUGAGCUGAUGGAGGCUGUCAUAAUGAUAUACCUAUUGAGGAGAUCAAAGCCAAUGUGGCAGGAUUCUGUCAAGAAGAGGCUUUGCUUCGAUGCCUGUGACAGUGCCAAGAUUGUUGCUGAUGCUGUUAUCUCUGAUUUCAAUGAAGUCCUGGAGGCUGUAAGUGCCUCUCUCUAUUUUCAUGUUACUUGUGUUUCUAAUCCCAUUUUUUGUUGUUUGAGCUUGGGAUUUACUUCUUUUAUAGUUUUCCUUUAAUUAUGUUGGUAAAACAGUUCCUUUUUUAUGUUUCAUAGCUCUUUUCUUUCUUAUUUUGCUUGAAUUUGAAAUUUAGACCGAUGGAUUUUUUCAACCUGAUAUUUUUUUGUGAAAGAAAUGUCAAUAUUAUAUAAAGAAAAUAGGAUUUGAAAGUUUGCAUCAUGAACAUGGAUAACGGAUGUGGGCAUGAUAACUUGUCAAGUCACCAUUAUAAAAUUCUUGAAAACAUCGUGAUUUGUGACCAGGCUGCCAUUGUUGGGAUUUUUGUUAUUGUGGAUUAUGGUGAUGAUUAAAGUCAUAACUAUGGCAAUUUUUUCCAUUAGGUUGCUCGUUAUCCAUCAUUUUAUGGAGCAAUUGAUGGGUUGUGCAACAACUACUGAGGCAAGACUAAAGCAGAAUGGAUUGUUGUGACAAAUUAUUGACCUGGCACUAACGUGGAGUUUUCUGCAGCACUAAUUCAUGGGAUAUAAAACACUGAUGAAGUCUCUAGGCCACUUGUACCUACUUUCACUGCAUUAUUUUUCUUAUACAUUCUUUUGGGGAAAUGAAAAGGGGGUGAGAGGGGGGAUGCUAAUUGGUAUAUCAAUAAAGUUUAUCACUGUUUGCUACAGGAUACUUAUUUGCGUUCAGGUGAUGCGUCCUAACCAGGUAAUGGGUAUGCAAUCAGGGAGCUAAUCUCUACGAUCCAAACACAGAAAUUCAAUUAUAGCCAACUGGUGAGAUUUUUGCUUUGCUUUAUGAUUUUUACUUGAACGUUUCAUAUAUAGUUCACAUAUCUGUCUUAUUUCUAAAACUUGUCUCCAAGUAUAUUUACUUGCAUCUAGAUAAUAUCAGCAGAAUUUUAGAACUCAUCUGAGUUUCAAAAUGUACUAGUUUUAACUGUGUCUUACUGUAUGCAACAAAUAAUAAGAUAACAUAAUGGGGGAUUCUUGGAAAAGUGAAGUAUCCUUUAGAUAUAUUUAUUAUUAUUUGAUGACAAAUGUCUGAAAAGAUUUGAUUUUAUUUACUUUUUGUUUAUAGGUCCUGAGAAAGGGAAAUGAGUGCCAAUAGUAAAAUUACCAAAAGAUAUUUGCAGAACCUGAGGUCUCUCAAUCGGCAAGGUAGGCAGCACCUCAUUCAGUUCCCUAUCUAAAUAUAACUGUUAAUUAAAUUUUAAUUUUAAUGCUUGAAAAUGCAGGAUGAUAAGAAGUUACUGACCUUUCUUGGGAUGUAGACUGAAUUCUGCUUUGGGUUUGUAGGGAUCAUUUGUGUGUUCAUCACUGCUACUGCCACCACUGCUGCUGCUACUUUCCCUUUUUUUUCUUAGGUUACUCAGGUCUCUCUUAUUUUCCUAUUUAAUGUAAUUAUAUGUAAUCGAUGCAUUACAUCAUAAGUCCAGGAAGAGUCAUGUCUAAACUGUAACCACAACAAUAUUCUGAUUAUGGCAGGUUCAUAUACUUAGGCAUGCCUCUUUCGCCUGAACACUGUUUAGGACCCUGGUGUCAAGAGGUUGAGGAGGAUGGCAAUCAUUUUCUAUAUUUAUGUCAAUGUUCUUGGAGUUCCGGAGCAAGUUACUUUCUCCGACGAUGCUAUUUUGGUCUCAUCCCCUUUGCAUCAAAUUCCUCUUGCAAUGCUUCAGAGCCUUUUCUGGAUUACUCAGGUGGUUUGCUUCCUAUUCUGCUGCUUCUCCAUGGCUAGUAAGAUAUGAGGUUGGCUUUAAUGAGAAAAGGUGGUGGGUGAAUGAGAUUAUUUUUCUUAAUAAGCUUUGUUCUCUACAUUGGCUUAGAGCUUUGGCUGAUGGCAUCUUGUUUUUGGACUAAGAUUCUGUAGCUUUAAGGAGACUUGGUGAAGUCUCCUUUGGUAAAAUCUGUUGGGAUGUUAAUGGCCUUGCUGACUCUUUAGUGUAUAGAACUGAUAUGUUAAUGGCUUGGUGGUUAUACUCAGUCGCUCUGAUAUUUGGUGCAAGUUUUUCGGGAGGCUGUUAAAUUAUCUCCACCCUUUGGGCACCAUUGUACUAGGCCUGUUAUUAGAGCUUUUAUGGUGUGUACAUUUUUACUCUUUUGGGUGUUAUUUUAGUCCGGUGAGACUGCUUCUUAUCCGUGUCCCAGGUGUUGUAUUUUUUCUUUCAGCUUUCAGUAACAUCUAACCACAACAGAGAUGCAAAAUUGGUGUAGCAAACCAUUGUUUGAAGCAUGUUGCCCUGUCAAAUUUAUCAUCUGUUGAUUGCCAAUGGCAUACAGAAGAAUUGAACAGUUAUUUGAUAAAUAAGAUUCAAUGUUUGUAUUCUUGGAUAUUUGGAACUGUAUGUGCAGGGUUGAAGGACCAACCGACAAUGACCAGAGCUUUAUUUAACAAAAAGAAUACCAAAUAAUUGUCUCUAGAGUGGUUAGUAAGGAUAUUAUAGUUGUUGUCCCAGUGGUCACAAAAACUGAGUCCUUCAUGAAGGAAAAUUGAUGGUGGAUAAGGCAAUUUAUGGGUGGUGCCAAACAAAUUGUUCAGAGGAUCUAAUCUAACAACAAUAAUCCAAUAUAUAAGAACAAGUCCUGCUGCCACAAGAAUAAUGUGUAGAGUACAUCACAAGAGUCCAGUUAUUAAGUUUUUAUGUUUUACACACUGAUUGCAUGCUUCAUUCCUUAAGAACGAGAGAAACCAAGAACAUGUAGCGGGCUAACAGCUCCAAAUGCUUACUCAAGAAAGCACUUGGAAAGCCUUCUCUCUGCCUCUUUAGAUGCAUUAGGCACAUUUUUACAAGGCAGUAAGUGUCUUUUUACUAUUACCUUUGGUUAGAUGGAGGUUCUUAUUCUCAUUUGCAUGACGGUGUUUUAUAGUUCCAGGAAAUACCAGUUCAUAAAGGUUUAACAGAAAUAAUUUAGAAACUUUCUUCUUUCCCGUUUUAGAAAGAGUGGGAGAUGCAAUUGAAGUUAUAUAAGAAUAAAGCUACGAGCCUAAGGCAACCUCUCCAUUCUGCAGCCCGCCUCCUUCCCAACCCAACAACAAAUAGUAAAACUUGAACGUUAAACUGAUCUUCCUCUUGCUUUGAAGUGCAGAUCUUCUGAUAGUCCUUUUCAUGAACUUGCCACUGUAGGAUCAAGUACUUAUAGGCACUAUGUCACAGGAUUUAUAGCCCAAACUAGAAUUUUCACUCCUUUUUUUUUUUUGGGUCGAGUUCUCACACCAGUUGGGUUCCUGGCCACAAGUUUAACAGUAUCUAGAAUAAACCGUACCAUAUCUGUCAGCCAUAAGGUUAAGGCCUAGAAUUUUCGCUUAUAGUAUACAUGCUCAAUUUUGUUUUUAACGUGUUAAUAAACUUAAGACAUAACAAAUCAACCUUCAUUUCGUCUUAAAACCAAUUCAGCAAUCAUCUCUUAUGGUAUGAUGUAUAAUUAAUGUACCAUGCCAUUGCAGAACUUGGAACACCUCUUCCUGAGGAUGCUUCCACUGUCACUGAUCAACCUUCAAUGUUGAUACUUGAUAAGCGCUGGAAAUGGUGGGUUCUUGUGGUAAUCAGCAUCGCCUAUCCCUUGCUUGGUCAGUCCAAACAAACAAAUUCUAUUUCAAUCAUGUUAUAAUAAACACUUCAACUUAAUCAAUAAUGGAGUCAACUAUUUUAUAAAAUUCGUAAUAAUUAAUCAAUGUUAUAUUUUGACGAGAUUUCGAUAAUAUCUUAAUAAAUUUUUAUUCGAUUAAACUUAAAUUUAUUGAAGAUUUCUAAUCAAGCUUUUUACAGAAAAUAUUAAAUGAAUGUCUCAUGAAUCAUGAUGAAACUAAUUAAUAAGUGAUUGGUAUGAUGAAGUUGUAAUUUCGUUCGUUUUUUUCUUUAAAUUUGUUUUUGGGUGAUAUCAAGUUUUUGAUAGUUUUAAUAGCUAAGUUAUAUAGCUUGCACUUUUCAUUAAUUAUAACUUGCCUUUGUUGAAGGAGUUUUCUUUUCUUUAUUUGAAAAAAAGUUUGAGAAAUUAUUGAACAUAAACUAUUUUAGCGCCAUAUUUUUUAAUUUAUUUAAAAAAUUGUCAAAUAUAAAUAGUAAAAGGAUAUUUCACUAAAAAAAUAAAGGUACAUUUUACAAAAUACUUUAAUUUGACUAUUUUUAAACUAAAUUUAAAAUAUUGAUAAAAUUAUAUUUGUUUAAAUAUGAAUAGUAAUUAUCAGCAAAAAUCUAUUAAUUACUCACUCGACUUACAAUUGCGGUAGUCCACAAAACCUAAACAUGAAAAUUUUAUCAUAUGCUAAUAACAUCAUAAUGUUUUGGAUGAUGCAAAUAUAUUGUUUAACAUCAUAAUGUCAACACAUUUAUUAUAAUUCUAUUAAUUAGGUAUUUGUUUAUUGCCAAAUAUUUCUUCUAUUAGGUUUGCUUGUACAGUCCAUUGGUAUUUAAUUUUUUGGAAUUUAAAAUAUAUUCUUUUAAACUGUCUUAUAAAUCGAUUGUCAUAUUUUCUUACAAAAAAUAAAUAUUAAUAAAAUGUUGUUCAUUAUUUCCAUACUAUUUGUGAAUAGUAGUCAAAUAGUUAAAAUCAAAUAAAGUAGCAUUAUUUUUUAAAAAACAAAAUUCGCAAAUGAUGGAACUUGAUUUUGAAGCCAAAAGAUUUUAAAAUAUCUUUCUAUGACAAAGACUAAAACUCAUUCACUUAUAUAUUCUAUUUUAAUUUGCAGUAGGAUAUAAAAAAAUUCCUUAUUACUAUAACCACUCAAAAAUGUGAAUUUUUUUUUAGAAUUGAAAAAAAUGAAUUUAAACUUUACACUUUAAAUAAAGAGAUCAUAUACCAAUCAAUUAACAAAAUACCUGAGUACAAAAAAAAUGUGAUUAAUAUACCUAACAUUUCUUUAUGAAACUAUUUGCAGUAUAUACUUAUACCAACAGGAAGGAAUUUUUUUUAGAAAAAAGAAUCCCAAAAGAAAAUUCACAAUUAUUCUACAUACUAACAUUAAAGUUUUUAAACUAUACAAAGAAAUUAAAAAAUUGUCUAAUGUUUGAUUAGAGUAUGUUUAUUGAAAUUAAUAAAUUGUUAUAAUAACUAAAUAAAUAUGUUAUAUAUAAAAUAAUAAUUUGCCAAAAAAAAGAGGACCUACUAUUAAAUCAAAAUUUGAACCAAAAUGAACCCACCCCACUAGCUUGGUUAAUGCCCAUUUACCUUUAUUUUCCAUGGCAGUCUAAAUUUUUGGCAAAAAGGCUUACCUUUCACGUUAUCUCUUUGAUUGUACCAAAGAUUAAUUUUUUUAAUGUUUCCUUUGGCAUUCUCCAAAACCAUGCGGGUUCCAUCCACGGAGAAGAAUUACUUAACCAAGUAAAAAAAAAAUGAAAGAAAGAUAUUUAAAGAAAUUUUGAUAAAAUAAAAUAAAUUGCAAAUAUCAUUUUAUUUUGUUGAAGUAUUUUGAAGCACAAAAUUGAGAAAGACCAAUAAUUAAAUAAGCUUUGAUUGAUUUAUUUGAUAAUAAUGAAAUCUGUGAAUGCAAAAGGCUAAAAUUAAGUACGGAAAUGCUUCAUUUGAAGGACAGAGUAAGGAAAGAAGAAGCGAGUAAAACCAUGGAAAGAUAUAGUAAAAUUAAGAGAGCAACGAAUGAAGGGAUUAAUGAAUACUUCAGUACUCACCUAAUGACUUGUGAAUUUGUCUAAUAAAUUUUUAACUGUUUCCAAAAGGAGAGGAUUAAGAGUUGUGAUCAUGGAAGUGUUGGAACACGUAGCCUUACCCUUUCUACAACUUGGGUUUGCCUUUAUUCAAGGCAGAAACAAAUCCAUUUGACUCAUGCAUGAAGAACAAGAACAUGAUUCAAAACACUAACGUGGCCAUACUGACCUACACUACCCUAAAUAGUCCAAUUCCCCAAAAGUAGGAAUUAGCUUUCGAUGACUCCUUUAGGGAUGGUAAUGAGUACUUGAUUAUAGGAUACUUGUGAGUAUCCGAUCCGAUUAUAUAAAAUUAAGAUAUCUUAUAAUACAAGUUUAUAAAUAAAUAAAUAAAUUUAUAGUUAAUAUUAAAUUAUUAUGAUUAUGAUUUGUUUACGUAUAUAUAAUAAAUUAAUAUAUUUUAAAUAUAUUAUUAAUUAAAUUUACUAUUAAUUCGUCAUGAUAUAUAUAAAAAAUAUUUUUUAUAUAUUAAUAUAUAUAAAAUAAUUUAAUUUUUUAAAUGAAUUGAUCUAAAAGUUUUAAAAUCGAAAAUCGAUCAAAAAUUUAAUUGAAUUAAAUUUUUUGACUAAACAACUCAAUAGAUCAAUUACAUUGAACUAUUUUACUUAAAUUACAUUUAAUUUAAAUGAUUAAUUACUCGGAUUUGAUUUUAAUCACUUCUGAAUUUCGUACAAAGGGAUGCCCCGGAGGAAAGGCUCAAUGAUUACAGUAACAGCAGUAGGCAACCAUCUUUACCCGUCACUUAUAAAUAAUUUCGACACGUGGCAUCAUAAUACACCGACCGCCACAUAUGCAUAUGACGUGGCCCCUCAAAAUUCACGAGGAAAUAGCCGCAGCUCCACCCGAAGGUGGAGUUGACAUGCGCCAAAACUUAAAAUGUCAAAGAAAGCGUACAGACAUAAAGCGAGUUUGGUCGUUUCUCAGAUAUAUGCUAACCUGUGUGAAAAUGUUGAAUGAAUAAAUGAGCACUGUCUUCAAGCUGGCUGUUUCCUGUUCACUUUUUGGUUGUCUGUUUUACUUUCAGUUCCGGGUCCAACUGGUAUUCCAUUUAGAAGAUUGUUCAAGCUUCUAAGCUCCAAGAUUUCUGCUUCUUUACUUACCAGGAGUCUUCCUGGCAACUGGCAAGUUAGUGUUAGUUCACAUUUUCCAUCUUUGUAUCAUCACAUUUCACUUUUAUUUUGCUUAGUUUAACAAAUGAUUUAUAGCUAGAGCUUGGUUUGUUGAUUCUUUGUGCUAGGGUCAGAGCUCCAGUGGAUUUUUCAUUGCCAUGUUCCAAAUUUGCUAUCUUCUUGCUUCUUUCUUAUGUUUGAAAAGAUAGGUGAGAGAGAGAGUUUGAACACAAUAAUUCAACACAAUAUUUCAAAGUUACUGUGUAAGAGUUGAUUUGAAAGUUUGGUAGCCAGCUAGCUACUAAUAAUUGGGAGAUGUUGCUGGUGAAGAUGUAUUUCGAUGGUUGAACUGGGAUUUUUAGUCUGAAACUCAUUUUAUCUUCUUAAUGCACCUUGGUUACUGUCUAUGGUGGGUUUCAAAAGUUAAGUUUACAACUUCCAACAGUAGUGUGUGCUUUAAGAAAUGUGUCAAUGGUAGCUAUUUGUUGUUUGUUCCCUGAUUCUGCAGAUAAAAUUUCUAUUCUGUUUAGAUGAUUGACAUCUCAAGAGAAGUGACUGUUACUUGUGUGAUGCUAAACCAAACAAUUUUCAAGUUGGUUAAUUCGCACCUUGCUUUGCAGAAAUAAAUGGCAUAUGAUCUGGGCAUAGCAUUUUACAUCACCAUAUGCUGCAUUGCCUUUAUUAUAUCGAAGAUCAUUCUUUGGAUUCUCCUUUAUAAGCGAUGGAAAAGAAAGACGAUGAUUUAUGAGGAAGGUUUCUCAGGUAUUGAACCUUCUAAAUGAUGACUUUUUUUUCCUAUAAUUUGACUUCUGAUGGAGGCAAAAAUGAUGCUUUUCCAACUUGGUAGCUUCUGGCAUAUGCAUGAAUGCAGGAGGGAAGAUGGUGAUGUUUAGGUCUCCAGUGUUGCAGUCUGUCUCAUCUGAUGUGUUGUUAAAGAAGACAUUGAAGUUAAGCAACAAAGACAUCAUUGGUGCUGGAGGGUAUGGUACAGUUUACAAAUUAAUUAUAAGUGAUACCAUGGCCUUUUCCGUGAAAAGGCUAAAUAGAGGAACUGAAGAUAGAGAUAAAGGAUUUGAGAGAGAAUUGGAAGCAAUGGGGGAUAUCAAGCACCGCAACAUUGUAACUCUGUACGGAUACUACAGCGCCCCUCACUACAAUCUUCUGAUAUAUGAGCUAAUGCCUAAUGGAAGUUUGGAUGCUUUUCUGCGUGGUAUGCACAUUUUUUCUUCAAAUACUAGGUUUAUCUUCAAGUUUUCAGCAUCCAUAUUUGUCAAAGUUAAGAGGGUCGAUAAUUUUUCUUAUUUUUUUGAAGAAAAGAGGGCAAAAUUUCAAAACUAUCAAAAUUCCAGAAUGUUGGAUUUUGUUGGAAGUUCAAAGAUCAGACUUGAUGCCCGAAGCAGAAGAUCAAAAGUUGCUGAUAGAUUAAUCUGUGAUGCAGGGAAAUCAAUGGACAGUAAGGUUUUGGAUUGGCCAACAAGAUAUAAAAUAGCAUUAGGUGCUGCAAGAGGAAUAGCAUACCUUCACCAUGAUUGUAUCCCCCAUAUAAUCCACAGAGAUAUCAAGUCAAGCAAUAUAUUACUGGAUCAGAACAUGGACGCUCGAGUCUCAGAUUUCGGACUUGCCACAUUGAUGGAGCCAGACAAGACUCAUGUUUCAACAUUUGUGGCUGGAACCUUUGGAUAUUUAGCCCCAGGUACGACGAACAAAAUUACAGUCAUUCUUUUCAUCUAGUUUUUGACUGUUUAACAACUAAACUUUGUUCUUCUGCAGAAUAUUUUGAUACAGGAAGAGCAACAGCAAAGGGCGAUGUUUACAGCUUUGGAGUUGUUUUACUAGAGCUUUUAACAGGAAAAAAGCCAACAGAUGAAGCGUUUCUGGAGGAGGGAACAAAACUUGUUACAUGGGUAAGUUCUCCAAUAUCAUGAACAUUUAAUUUGACAUAAUUGUCCAUUACUUGAUAAUGCCUACCUCCAUUUAAAUGUCCAAUAAACUGGUGAAAUUAUCUCUUCCAGUCAUUGGUUAAAAAGAGUUCAUAAAAUUCUUGUUAUUUUUAUCUGUAUGCUAUUCAUCAGAGGCAUUUUCUUCUGUGUCAACUGUCAAGUACAUAUUGGCUAAAGAUUCAUAGAAAAUAGUUGGAAGAGUUUCUGAUGUUCUGUUUCAUUACCAUCUUGAACAGGUAAAGGGAGUUGUUGAAGAAAGGAGGGAAGAAUAUGUGCUUGACAGUAGCUUAGGUUCUUGUCCCGUGGAUGAGAUUAACAAUGCUUUCAAUGUAGCAUUAAUGUGCCUUGAAACAGAACAAACUGUCUUACAUACCUCUCCUGAUUUCCUCAACUUUGUCACUGAAAAGCAAGAGUGCUUUUUAAAUAAUAUCAUGCAUAAUUUUGUUGAUUUUAUAAUUUCAUAUAGGGUUAGAAAAUUACAAUUUGGAUUAAAUAAGAAUUCAUAAUCGAUACAUUGGGUCUAUUACUUUUAUAAGCUAUUUUUAUAGAUUACAACUAGGUAGUCAAAUCAUUAAAAUUAACAUUUAUUAAAUGAAGAUAAAAAAAUAAAUAAGGAAGCAAGCUGUUAUUUGAGAUCAUUCAGCCUAACAUAUAUGCCUGUUUCAUCCGAGCAUUUCAUGCAUGAAUACUUUUCAUUUUUUAAUGAAAGUAGUAAUACAAUAUUUAUAUUGCUCUACAACUCUUACGUAAAUAAACCAAUAUUUUCAUUGACAGAAAUAUUACAUUUGGUUAUUUUUCUACAUUUCUAUUUCUUAAUUCUUUUAUUGGAUUAUUAUUCAAUGCAUAGCAGUUUAUAUAUCUAUAUAUAUAUAUAUUAUAUUAUUUUAUUUUAUUUUAAAAAAUAAUUAUUUAAUUAUUAAAUAAACAUACAAAAAUUUUAAACUUACCUGUAGAAUUAAAAAAAUUCACAAUCAAUAUACAAAAUAAUAAUCUAUUUUUUCAUAAAACCAAACAAACUCAUCAUUUUAAUUUUUUCAUUCUCUUUUUUUUUUUUUUUUUGCUGUAUUUUUAUACUUGUAGGUUUACUCACAUUUUUCAGGUACUUAAAUUUAUUUAUCAUAUGAAUAAUUUUAAAACGUUUUUUAUUAGAAAAUAAAUAUAGCUAGGGUUUGGGAAAGUAAGAGGCAAGCAGCAUGGUUUAGGAAAGAUAGCAACCAAAAAAAAUAUUAUCUGGCUUAGGGUAUCCUCGAAAUCUACCUAAAGCCAAGUUGAGUAUUAAAAAGUUUAUUCAAACUCUAUUCAUUACCGAAUAGAGGGUAUCCCAAUCUUAUGUUAUCAAGUCAAAUACGUGUGGAUACUAUAUAAUAGUUACCUGUUACAUCCUAAGUUAGACUUCACAAUUUCUUUAGGAAACAAUUUGUUGUAUGUACUUGUACCAAAAAGAAUAAACAAGCUAUUUUACUAUAAAUAACAAUAGGACCACUACAGCAAAAUAGAAAACUAAAAAAAGGGAAAAUUGAGAAUAUCAAUAAUUAAAUAAGCUUUGAUUGAUUUAUUUGAUAAUAAUGAAAUCUGUCAAUACCAAAAGGCUGAAAUUAAGUAAGGAAAUGCUUCAUUUGAAGGAGAGAGUAAGGAAAGAAGAAGCCAGGAAAGCCCUGGAAAGAUGUAGCAAAAUUAAGAGAGCAAUGAAUGAAGGGAUUAAUGAAUACUUCAGUAGUCACCUAAUGACUUGUGAAUUUGUCUACUAAAUUUUUAAUUGUUUCCAAAAGGAGAGGAGUAAUAGUUGUGAUGCAAGUGUUGGAACACAUAGCCUUACUCUUUCUUCAACUUGGUUUUGCCUUUAUUCACUGCAGAAACAAAUCCAUUUCGCUCAUGCAUGCAGAACAAGAACAUGAUUCAAAACACUAACAUGGCUAUACUGACCUUCACCACCCUAAAUAGUCCAAUUCCCCCAAAGAAGAAGAAUCCUUUAUAGCAUGUUUGGUUGGGGGAAUGGCUAAGCCAUUCCCCCUUUAUUCCCAAGGAAUUUUUAUUCCUUUGUUUGGUUGAAAAAUAAUCCAAGGAAUAGCCAUUCCUAUGGAAUGACUAUUCUUAAAAAUCCUUCAAAACCAAGGAAUAGCUAAUACCAUCCUCUCCCAUGGUAUUAGCUAUUCCAUGAUUGAGGAAUAAAUUUAAAAAUUAAUAAAGACAAAAAUACCCCUUACAAGUUUGAAAAUUUACAACUUUAUUAGUAUAAAAUAUUAUUUUUCUCUCUCUUCUCUUUCUCUCACUUGAUUUCAAUUUUUAAUAAAAUAUUAAUUUUUUUAAAAUAUUAAUAUUAAAUUAUAAUAAAUAUUAAUAUUUAAAAUUAAUNNNNNNNNNNNNNNNNNNNNNNNNNNNNNNNNNNNNNNNNNNNNNNNNNNNNNNNNNNNNNNNNNNNNNNNNNNNNNNNNNNNNNNNNNNNNNNNNNNNNNNNNNNNNNNNNNNNNNNNNNNNNNNNNNNNNNNNNNNNNNNNNNNNNNNNNNNNNNNNNNNNNNNNNNNNNNNNNNNNNNNNNNNNNNNNNNNNNNNNNNNNNNNNNNNNNNNNNNNNNNNNNNNNNNNNNNNNNNNNNNNNNNNNNNNNNNNNNNNNNNNNNNNNNNNNNNNNNNNNNNNNNNNNNNNNNNNNNNNNNNNNNNNNNNNNNNNNNNNNNNNNNNNNNNNNNNNNNNNNNNNNNNNNNNNNNNNNNNNNNNNNNNNNNNNNNNNNNNNNNNNNUAAAUAAAAUAUUAAUAUUUUUAAAAAUAAAUAAAUAUUAAUAUUGAAAUUAUCAAUUAUUAAUAUUUUAAAUAAAUUAUCAAUUAUUAAUAUUUUAAAAAUAAAAUAAAAUAAAAAAUUAAUCAUAAUAAUAUUUAAAUUAAAUAAAUGUUAAUAUUUAAAUGAUUUAUUAUUAAUAUUUUAAUUAAAUUCUAGAUUAUUAAUAUUUAAAAAAUCUAAUAAAAUAAAAUGUCAUAUAAAUAAUAAAGGAUGUUUUUGUCUUUUUAUUUUCUAUUCUUUUCUUAUUCCCAAAUUAUUGUUACCAACCAAACACUACAAUAAGUCAUAAUAAUUAUUCCUGUUCUAUUCUUUUUGUCAUACCAAACUAAGUAAUAACUAUUCUAUUCUAUUCCCACCUCAUUCAAUUCCCACAUAAUAACUAUUCUAUUCCAUUCCUGUCUAUUUCGCCAAUCAAACGUACCAUUAGAGUUCGAUGACUGCUUUAUUGAAAGUAGGAAUUUGCUUUCGGUUACUCAUGGCCAGUUUUUUCCUUGUCUUUUUCGAUCGGAACUGCUGCCUCCAACAAACUACAUGGGGUCUUUCUUCGAAAGAGAAUUCGACGACUCCAAGUCAAUACCCAACUCAAUUAUUAAGCUACCCUCACAAACUUCUUUAACCUUCACACAACAAAAAUACAUCUCUUUUCCACGUACUUCAAUCUCCAUUUUGAUUUCUCUCUUUCUUGCUUGAGCAUAACAAUCAUGUCUUUUGUUUGGGAGGCUGCUCUCACAGCUUUCUUUGAUGUGUUGUUUGGCAAGUUAUCCUCUUCUGAUUUCCUCGACUUUGUCACUAAAAAGCAGGUCCGCAAGGAGCUCAACGAGUGGGAAACGAUGCUGCGGGAUAUCCGUGCCGUGCUUGAUGAUGCAGAGGGGAAGCAGAUGAAGGAUCAGUCUGUGAAGAACUGGUUGGCCGAGCUUCAAGACUUGGCUUACGAUGUUGAUGACAUUUUGGACGAGUUUGCCACUGAAGCUUUAGGGCGCAAGCUGACAUCCUUGGAGGAACCUCAAGGCAUCAAAAAUAAGGUACAAAAGAUCAUUCCUACUCGUUUAUUCUUUCCAAAAACUUUCAUGUUUAAUAAGAAGAUGAUACACAAGAUUAAAGAGAUCAGUGCUAGAAUGAAUCGUUUGGCCACAAAAAGAACUCACUUGGGAUUGGGAGGCAUUAAUGAGGGAGCAAGGCCCAACAUAAUGACACAAAGUCAGCCUACUUCUGUGGUGGAUGAAACUAAGGUGUACGGCAGGCAAGAAGAAAAGGCAGCAUUACUUGAAUUGCUUUUGAGCAAUGAUGGCACUGGCAAUGAAGCUUCUGUGAUUCCCAUCAUUGGCAUGGGAGGAAUUGGCAAGACAACUCUUGCACAACUUCUCUACAAUGAUACUCGUAUAGAGAAUUCUUUCGAGUACAAGGCGUGGGUAUGCGUUUCCGAAGAUUUUGAUGCCGUUAGCAUAACAAAGAGAAUUCUACGGUCAAUCAAUCGUGGUUGUUGUACCGAUGAUAAUGAUCUCAAUUUACUUCAAGUUGAGUUGAAGAAGAUGCUGGCUGGGAAAAAGCUUUUGCUUGUCCUGGAUGAUAUCUGGAACGAGAAUUAUCUGGAGUUGACCAACCUACUUUCUCCAUUUGGAGUUGGAACCAAAAUUCUCGUCACAACACGGAGUCACAAUGUUUCUUCUAUUAUGGGCACUGUUAAAGCUUACCCACUACAACAGUUAUCAGAGGAGGAUUGUCUAUCUGUAUUUACUCGACAUGCAUUAAGAGCAAAUGAUUUUAGUGGGCAUCCUGAAUUAAAAGAAGUUGGGGAAAUUAUAGUGAAAAAGUGCAAAGGCUUACCUUUGGCAGCUAAAGCCAUUGGUGGUUUACUACGCACUAGCCUGGACUAUGAGGCAUGGAAAGGUAUAUCAGAGAGUGAGAUAUGGGGCAUACCAGAAGAGAAAUGCAGCAUAAUUCCAGCUCUACGAUUGAGCUAUCAUCAUCUUCCUUCACAUUUGAAGCGAUGCUUCACAUAUUGCUCUAUACUCCCUAAAGAUUAUGAAUUUGGGGAGGAAGAGAUAACCUUGUUAUGGGCAGCAGAAGGUUUUCUACAGGGAGCAAGCCCUAAAACUGAAAUUGAUGACCUAGGUCGUCAAUAUUUUCGAGAUCUAGUAUCAAGGUCAUUUUUUCAAACAUCUACUAGAAACAAAUCUCGAUUUGUAAUGCAUGACCUUGUCAAUGAUCUAGCUCAAUCGGUUGCAGGAGACAUAUGCUCCAAAUUGGAGGAUGAUAAGCAAAUGAGAUUUUCAAAACGUACCCGACAUUCAUCUUAUAUUAGUGGCCGAUACGACGGAAUGAAAAAGUUUGAAGCCUUUGAUCAAAUGAAGCAUCUACGUACCUUUCUAUCAUUGUUGGGGUUGUCGUGGACACGUGAAGUUGAUUGUUAUUUAAGUAAUAAUAUCCUCACUGAUUUAUUGCCCAAACUUAGAUACUUAAGAGUUCUUUCUCUGAAAGGGUAUUGGAAUAUUGAGUUACCAAAUCUUUUUCAAGAGUUAAGACAUUUGCGUCAUCUAGAUUUUUCUUAUUCUAAAAUUAAAAGUCUACCUGAUUCAAUAUGCACCCUUUAUAAUCUAGAAACCUUAUUAUUACAUGGGUGUUACAAUCUUGAAAACCUACCGUCAAAUCUACAAUUUCUAGUCAACUUGAGUGUUCUCGACAUCACUUGUGCAAUUUCAAUGAACAAGAUGCCGUUUGAAAUUGGUACCUUAACCAAUCUUCGAAGACUAUCUGAUUUUGUUUUGGGCAAAGGUGAUGGACAUCAAAUACAAGAGAUGAAGAAUUUGUUAAAUCUCAAGGGUAAGCUUUGUAUCUCAG
rnacentral:lncRNA from 1 species